rnacentral:lncRNA from 1 species
AUUCUUCUCGUAGUAUAUCAUAUACAUGUUGUGUUCUAGGUCCUAUUGCUAUAUCAUCUUUUUUAGGAUGGUUGUGCCAUUCUUUCCAUAUUUUUUUCUCCUAAAGGUCCUUUAAUUUUUGUCAUGUAUGUAUUUAAAAGUCCAAUAUCAUUUAUUCUACAUGUUCUUCCUAAGUAUUUAAAAAAAGAAAAAAUUUCAGUUUACCCCCCAAAUCUUUGGUGGCAAAAUCAGUUCAGUCCUGCAACUUUUUUUUAAAUCAGUUGCUCCUUCAACUUUCGUAAACACAUCAGUUAGGUCUAAUUUUUGAAUUCCCCUCAAAAUAUGAUGUCACCAAAUUGUUGGAACUGACAAGGGGACCCAUAAUUAAGUUUUGGGUAAUUAUGAACAUGAUUAUAUGUAGAUUUUAUGAAGAAUUUAUGGUUAUUUUGUUCAUCUACAGUAAUUUGUGUUGUGUUUAUAUCAUAGAAAUUUUCUGAAAUUUCACAGGAUUUGUGGAGAAUUUUGAUGUGACAGACCUAUUUUAUGGUCAAUUUUAUUGUUAGGAAAUUUUUUUUUUGCCAAAUAGAUACAUUUUUUUAUCUUCUUUAAUAAUAUUUUGUCAAAUUGACUACUUUAUCUUUUUGAAAAAGGAUAAAGUUAAAUUAUGGAUCCCCUUGUCAGUUCCAACAGCUUUAAUGACGUCAUAUUUUGAGGAAAAUUUCAAAAUUGGACCUAACUAGGGAUGGCAAUAAUCCGCAGCGGGUAAGGUACCCACGGGUAUUCGACCCUAACGGGGAAGAUAUACGGGUAUAAACGGGUAACGGGGAUGGAGAUCCCCAGUAUUCGGAUUCUUAAAUCGGGUACGGGGCGGGUAUUGUAUUUUGAUAUUCGUCCACAUCCCCACCUAUUAAGAAUACAAAUAUUAUUAUAUAUGAUUAUAUAAUUUAUUAUUAUUAUUAUAUAUAUAUAUUUCUAUAUAAUUUAUAAAUAAAUAUUUAUGUAAAAAAAUUUGUGAUUCUCUUAAUAAACAUUUAAUGGACCUUCCUUUUUAUUAUAUAUUUUUAUUCUCUUAAUGAAAUUUACCGAUAUUGUUCUGUUUUAACCAAGACUUGUAUUUAUUUUUAUUGGAUUGAAGCAUGAAACUUAUUUAUUUUGUUAUUUGAUUUUAAUUUCAUACUUUUAUAUAAUUGUAUUUCAUUUUUUUUUAAAUAAUUUAAUACAUAAUUGUUAACGGGUACAUGUACGGGUAUGGAAACGUAAUCCCCAAAGGGUACGGGUAUGGGGAAUCCCCAUUAUCUAAUUACGGGUACGGGGACGAGUACAGGGAUGAGAAAUGUAAAAAUGUAUGGGUACGGUAUUUUGAUCCUUGUACCCUACCCUACCCAUUGACAUCCCAAGACCUAACUAAUAUGUUUAUGAAAGUUGAAGGGGCGAACUGAUUUUAAAAAAAAAAGUUACAAGACUGAACUGAUUUUGGCACCAAAGAUUUGGAGGGUAAACUGAAUUUAAUUCUUAAAGAAAUCUGUAGUAUAUUCUCCUAUGUACUGCAAAUCACAAAUUUGUAAUUGUUCUAAGUUUCUUAUUGCUUUAAUUUGUUCUUGCUCAUUUCUACCAUCUAGUUUAUUAUGAUCUAAAAACUCAUACUUAAUAAGUUUAACAAAAGUAUCUAUAUUAAAAGUUUCUUUUGCUGCUUGAUGUUGUUGUGGGUUUUUUACUUUCCAUGAUUGAAGGAAAUCAAAUACCAUGCCAUCUAAAGUAUGGUCAAAGUAAUCUAACAUAUCAGUUGUUUUAUUAAAUUCUAACAUAAUUGAUGCAUGCACACAUCCUUUCUCCCAUCUUUCUAUUGCUUUUUCCCAGUCUUGUGGAUCUACAUGAUCUAUGUUUAAUAUAUUUCCUGCUAAGUUUACAUGUUCUAAUCCUUUAUAAGGUAUUCUAUUUCUUUUAGGUCUAGUCAUUUCGUAGUCUACAGUGCUAGUAUUUUCUGUAUAUGUUUCUCUAGUUGGUCUUAAGUUUUGUUGAUCAGUUCUACCUAGUCUUGGUUCAGUAUGUAUUCCUGAAGUUGUUGUUGAACUUUCUUCUUCUACAUGCAUACAUUCUACUACUUUUGUUAACAUAUUAUUAUAUUCGUUUUCUCCUAAAAUAUGUUCUAAUUCUAUUUUUAAUAUUAAUUGUUUUAUUUCUUCAUUAGUUAACCUAUGUAGUCCUAAUUCGUAAGUUUUAUAUUUUUCUAAAUAUUGUUCUUCGGGUCCGGUUCAAAGGCCACUACUUUUUACACACUUUUGUGGCCAUCGGAUUUUAAAUUUUUAACGGUCUAGAUUAUUUGCUAAUAUGAUGUCAACAUAAAAAAUGUGAUGUGGCAGGUGACAUGGCGUUACCUAUUUUCAUGACAAAUUAGAUUUUACUUUUCUUUAUUAAAUAAGAAAACCAAAUCCAAUCCAAUUCUAACUUGAAAAAUUAAAAUCAAAUCGUAUACAACAAAAAGAAGUUCACCGUUGUUGUUCAACGAAAACAAGAUCUACAUUUUCUUCCCACUCCAUGUCACUGUCCUCCAACUUAUGCAAGUUCGAAAAUUCAAAUAAGUUAAUCAAGUGUAUGUUUUCUUUUCCCUUGUGAGUGCAACAAUACUUUGUUUAUGUCUGAUAUUAGAAGUUUGAGAAGUAUUCAAAGCUGCUGCAAAAUAACAAUCAAACACUAUGCCCAUAUUUAAACCCUUGCCCAUGAUUCUAGAAUCUAACGUGAUUGAUGUGUAGCGGAUACGAGACCUGGCUAUCUAAGAUGCAGGAUUUCUUGGCAGUAUAAAUUUAUCAAAUACCAUAAACUUCAAUUCAAUUACUAAACCCUAAAUCUUGUUAUCUAUAAUACUAUAUGUUUGUUAGUAGAUAGAUGACAUAUUCGAAUUAGAGAUGGUGUGCUUUCAAUAUUUGUUCUUCUGCCCUUCUUGUUCUGCAUCGUUCUUCCUCUUUUUUUCUCUUUCUUUCUUUUCACUAUAAACGAUUUGAUUUUGAUUUUUCAAGUUAGAAUUGGAUUGGAUUUGGUUUUCUUUUUAAAAAAAUAAAAGUAAAAUCUAAUUUGUCAUGAAAAUAGGUAACGCCAUGUCAUCUGUCACAUCACAUUCUUUAUAUUCACAUCAUAUUAACAAGUAAUCUAGACUGUUAAAAAUUUUAAAAUCCGAUGGUCACGAAAGUGUGUAAAAAGUGUAUAAAAAGUAGUGGCCCUUGUUCUUCGUUUAAAUUAUCUAUGUCUUCUAUUAAUUUAUCUACUAUGCUAUCAAAAUUAUGCUCAAUCAUAUUGAUUUCUAAAUUAUCAAAGGCCAUAUGUAUUUUGGUCUAAAGUGAGUUUUCGUUUUUGAUGUUUUGUGAUCUCUAAAUUCAGGUAAUCUAUCCUAAAAUAGUUUUUUCUUGUUUUUCUUUUCUUAAUGUUUUUAAGGCUUCUAUCCUCAAGGUACUAUAAUAAUUAUAUUAUUAUAGAGCUAAACUAAAGCUCUGAUACCAAAAUUGAAGGCGGUUGUUCCAGUUAUAUGCAUGGCCUAAAUACCUAAUAAAGAUUAAGUCUUGAACAUGGACAAGAGUUUAAAACUGCGAGACAAACUAUGGUACUGGGAUGUAUAUCCUACUUUUAUUUUAUAUGUACUUGAACAAAAAUUACAAUGUUAUGAAUCAAAUUACAACAUUGAGAACAAAUUUACCAACUUUAUUUACACUAUUUACAUGAAGUUAAACAAAAUUACAACUAUGAGAAUAAUUUGUUCAAAAAGUUGUAAAAUGGUUGUACAUUUUAUAAUUACAAUUAUUAGAAUAAGAUUACAGACAAUAUGACUCAGCAUUACCACUUUGACUACAAAUAUGUUGUCACAUUUGUAAAUGUAGGUACCACAUACGGGUAGGUACCAUAAAAUUUUCCUAAACUGCAUACACAGCCAACCUAUGAGCUAAACAAAAGCAGAAAUAGAGGUUCUUAGACUCAUAGGUUCCCUGACUAAUUUUUAUUAGUUACCUUGGCAUGCAUGUUAAGUAAAACAAUAGCCUGCAAAGAUAAUACAAGAUCGUCAGUUUAGCAGAAUAAUAACAUAAUCAUAUCAGUGUUUCCCUGUUUUGGACUAGAAGCCUGCUAAGAAAACCAGAAAAUAAAGAGGUGAGAAACCUACUUGUAUGUGCUAGUAGUAUUCACUACAGUCUUCUCUUCAAGUUCUUCAAAAGACCAGGAACAUGCAAACACAAACUGCUAUUGGAACAUGCAAGGCUUGAAUGGCUUGAACAACUACUUCUAUCUUCUUGUUCGAGGAGAUUGCUUGAACAUCUACUGCUCCUCUUCUUUCUUGAGGGACAUGCACAAGGUUUGAACAGCUACUUGUUCAUGAACAACUACUGGGUGUGAACAACUACUGCUUCUCUUUUUGCUCGAGGAGAUUCAAACAGAAAUGUGGAUGGGGAUUACAUAAUCAUAUGCUCGAGUAGAUAUGUAUAUAGUUGUGGAGAUAUGCAUAUAUAGUCGAGGAAAUCUGUUUGGUUGAAGAGAUAUGAGAGAAAAUAUGAACUAUGCUUGAAGAAAUCUAAACAGAGUGUUGUUGUGAACUGAGAUAGUUUUAUUGAUUCUGGAAAGGUUACAAACUGAGACUACAACUAAGGGAUGAAGUUUACAAAUUGAGAGAUACAACUGGGAGAGAGAGAGUUCUAAGUGUACUGUCUCUUCUCUUCCUCUCUUCCUCAUAUACAAAGUGAUGAUCCCAUGGACAGGUGUCGGUUCCUCUAUUUCCCAUGCACCCUGCAUGCCCAAGGUUUCUCUUCUAAGGCACGUACUCUACACAAAAAAGCAUGCAUGCACUUAUCAUAUGAGGCCAUAACUUUGACUGGGUUUUUCCGGUAUUUGAAAAGAGUCUGACAACUUAUUUUAACCCAUGGUAAACUGUAUGCUAUGCCGAACGGUAGAAGAAUUUUAUUAACACAUCAUCAGACGCUAGAUACACAUCUCUUUUCUUAUAUCAAUUAUUUAAAAUUUUGUGGGUACGUACGUAAAAUUACCAAAAGAGACAUUCAUAUCAAAAGUAAAAAAAUCUAGUUGAAAUAAAAUAUUCUGUUUGAUUUACAAAAAAAAAAAAAAAUUGCUUAAGAGUUUUUCUUAUCCUCUUUGAGAACAACAUAUAUGUGAAGAUAUCAAACCCUAAUCAGAAAUAGCUAGCAACAUUUAUCAUGAACAACCAUAGUUUCAAGCAAAAUUGAAGAUGUUGGUGAGCUGUGGCUUGGUUGGUUAAAGUGUUUAACUGAUAACUUUGAGGUCAUAGGUUCAAAUCUCACGACAUAUGUAGGGUGUGAAUUAUUAAUAAAAGUUUAACUGAAGACAACGUAAUAGAUUAUAGUGGUAUUUCUUAAUCCCUAAGCGAGGUAUGACUUUCCUAACUUUGAUUAAGUUUGAUCUACUACAAAAUUUUAAAUUUAGAUUUUAGGGUUUGUUGUUUGAUUAGAUAGUAAAAUUUAAAGUUGGAAAUUUAGAUUUUAUUGUGAGGAAAGACGAAACCUUUUGAGAAAAAUCUCACUAAUGUGAUUUUUUUUUUUUGAAUAAUUGAGUGGUAGAUCUAGAAAAAUAUGUGUAUUUAGUGAAUGGGUUGUGUAUUUAGUGAAUAAGUUGUUUAUUUUAAAUGAGGGUAUUGUAGGAAGUUUGAGUAUGUGUAUCUAGUAAAAUGUUAAAACAAUAAAAUUAAUAGGUAGUGUAUAAAGUAUGAGAUGCGUCUCUAGUAAUUAGGAACAUGUUAAGGAAAAUGCUAGAGAUCCCAAAUAAUUUUACCAAAUGAUGUGGCAUAUGCCAUAUCAUCAAACUAUUUAAGCAUGUAUAUUCUUAUUAUAUUUCUUUUGUUUAAAAUAAAAAUAUCGGUAAUUAAAAUUUAUUAUUAUAUGAUUAGAAAAAAAAUUGUAUAUGAUAAACAACAACCAAAGGAAGAAAGAACCCUAAUCCAACCCUUUCAAUUGUGAAGACUUUACGAAAAGGCCAUCAGCCAAAACUAGAACAACAAAAUACAAAAUCGUGUAUGGCUUGGUUCAUUAGUUCAUUGGUAAUCGAAUUAUGAUCUAUUCUAUAAGUCUCAUUCAAGUUCCAUUUUCUAUCUACCUUGACCAAAUCAAAACAUACGUCAUGAGGAAUUACCUGAAGGAGAAGUAUAUUAGAUCAUUGAAUUGGCCAAAAGCAGAAAAUCAAUCAUACAAUAUAUCAAUUUGUUAUAUUGAAUGACACCAACAUAUAGUAGUGGUGUGGUAGGAUAAUCAAUGAGGUUUUGCAAUCUGGGAAUAGACAUAUACAGUACGUGAUGGAGUUAUGAUGUUUUUCAAUUGAUAGCCAGAUCCAUCUUUACUGGGUUUCAUAUGAAUUUAACAAGAGUUCAUAUAUUGAGGGAGAAAAAAAUAGUUGUAUUAUUCUACAUGCAACCUCCUGGAUUUGAUGCAAGUUUUUCACGCUAGUAUCAAUGUUGAUUAUGCAGAUCAUUUGGUCUGUUGUUCUUGUCUGAAGGAACUACAGCGACGACGGCAGAUUUGGUUGUUUGGUGAACCAUUUAUGUUUUCUUUUUUAUUUAUUUUGCUGAUUAAUUAGUUUCUAAAUAAAAUCAAUGAAAUUGCUGGAAAUUAUUAAAUUAGAUGUCAUGACACAUAAAACGCUAAAUCAGAGGCCACGUCAUUUUGUAUUGAGUUUUGGUAUAAUUUGUUGGUGUCUGUAGCAGUGCUCAUGUGUUAAUAAUGGGAAAAUGACCAAAUGCACAAAAACAGAUAUUUCAAUACUCACUUCAAUGUAAAUCCUUUCCCUUAACCCAUUCCAAUGAUUUUUAAUAAAAUUAUGAGUAUAUCCUAUUAUGAUAAUUAAACUCUUAUCUCUCUAAUCAAAUCUAAUAUCUCUCUCCUCUCUCUUAAAUCUCUCUCUCUCUCUNNNNNNNNNNNNNNNNNNNNCUACUCUACUCUACUCUCUCUCUCUCUCUCUCUCUCUCUCUCUCUCUCUCUCUCUCUCUCUCUCUCUCUCUCUCUCUCUCUCUCCACAAAUCCCCAAUCCCUAAUUUCCAGCCAGAUAUGGAUUUGCAAGGCUUAUCGGUCAUCUGCAACGGCCUCGACAUCGCCCUAGACGACAACGGUAACCGGAUCGGCUAUCGGAAGCACAAGUACUGCUUAGGUACGUCUCUGAUCUCUCUGAUCAUCAAUAUCAUAAGUUUCUCUGAGCUUAAAGCACCGAUUGCAUCAAUAUCAAAUUUUCCGGUAAUCUGAUCCAUUGGGGGGUGAUUAUUGGGGGUAAGUAACUGUUAUUAGGGGUUAGUAACCAAGUUAUUGAAGGUUAGUAACUCGAUUAUUAGAGUCAGUAACUCAAUUUUUUUCUGAUAUUUCUUCUUUUCUAUUACAUUAAGCUGAAAUAAGUUGAUUAUUGAGGGUUAAUAACUGAUUAUUGGGAGUCAGUAACCAAGUUAUUGGGAGUCAGUAACCAAGUUAUGGGGAGUCAGUAACUGAGUUACUGGUGAUUGGAAUCCAGCGACCGGAAAAAUCCGAGUUACUGGGGGUCAGUAACUGAGUUACCGGUGAUCGGAAUCCGGCAACCGAAGAAAAUAUGAGUUACUGGGGGUCACUAACGGCGACCGAAGAAAUUUCCGGCAACCGGUGACCGGAAUCUGGCAACCGGCAACAGGUAACUGGAGUCCGGCGGCGGGUGACCAGAGUCUGGUGAGGUUCCGGCCAAAUAUUCUCUCUCUUCCACUUUCUCUCUCUAUACAUGUUGAAGUGAUGAGGGUAAAGUUGUCUUUAAAAUAUACAAAAAUUAUUUUUUUAUUAUGAUAUUAAUAAAGAUUUGUGUAUUUGGGCAUAAAAAAAGUUACAUUAUAUUAGAAUGGUCUCAUAAAAAAAAUUAUCAUUAGAAUUGGAAAUGAGAGGUUUAAAUUAGUUGUUUUUUUAAAAUAGAUCCACGUGUCAAAUUGUCAACAAUUUCAUGAUAAACGGUGGGUGAAUGGUAAUUAAAGGGCCUCAAUAUAAAUAGGAGGACCGUGUGGCUAUACAGUUUUUGAGUUGUUCUACGCAAGGAUUAAAAUAUCGGUAUCGGUGGAUAUAUCGGUCCUUUGAAAAAGGGAGAUUUCGGAUAUAUCGGGGAAACCCGGAAAAAAAUAUCGGUAUUUUGGGAAGAAUUUUUUUUUUCUGAAAUAUUUAAUUUAUUGGAUUUAUAUAUAAAUAAUACAAACAUCAACUUCAUCUACAUCCAGAAUGAGAAUCUAGGUUGUUGAUAAGAGUCAUAAGACACACGCUGGUCCACAAAAGUACAAUAAUCAAACUAAGACAUAUGACUCAUAUAGUACAAAUUGUAGUGUUGAAUAUGAUAAUCAUAUAUGUCUUUGGAGCUACCGACUGUUUCCCCUAUAAGUGGAUAGUAAGGAUGAAUCCAACUGGAUGACUGAUCACUGACUUCCGCACAUUGAUUAUAGCCAUAAACAUUAUAGCCAUAUUGAUUGUUGCCUUCUUAGGAUUCAUUUGAGGUUCCAGUCCCAUUACAUAAACUGAUAAAAUCAAAACUUAGCGCAACUGAAGCAACAUCUUGAUCAUCAUUUGGACCUCUUGUCCUCAUUUCAUACAUGGUAUCCUCUUGCGCUCCAUACCUAGUACUUCUAUAGCCAUGUUCAUGGGAUGCAUGAUCGUAAUUUUCUUCAGAUGAAAAAUUAUUUAAUCCACCAACUGUAGAAGAUUGUCCAUAUACUUAUUCUCUUUCUCAAGUGUAAAUAUUCAUCCACUGUUCACUCAUCUCCAAGUUUGAUAAUUGUGUAAUAGAUUGAUCUGUAUCCAGAUAUAUCUCGAAAGGAAUCAUGCUCUUCUCGAGAGUCGAGACCACCACUCUUCAUUGGGAUACACGUCGAGGGAAUUACUUCUCUUCCGGAUAUCAUUUCAAUUUUUUUACAAAUAUUUUUUUAAUAUGUCGGUGAUAUAUCAAAAAUAUCAUAAAUGUCGGAGAUAUUUCCUAAAUAUCGGUGAUAUUUGACGAUAUUUCCUAAAUAUCGGGGAAUUAUCGUAGAUACGGUGGAAGAUAAGAUAUUGACCUCUAUAGAUAUAUCGGUCCUUCGAAAAAGGGAGACAUCGGAGGAUAUAUCGGAUAUAUCGCAGAGAUUUUAACCCUUGGUUCUACGUAGCCGAAUCGAAUCCAUACCCUAAUUGCAGAUCUUCGCCGCCAUGGGGAACGCCGUCAUAGGGAAGGUCUUAAUACCGGCGGGACCUCCCAUGAGUCUCGAUGAGAUGCAAACUGUUACUCGUUUGAAUCGUGGUAUGUUCCUUAUAUAUGGUUUUUGAUGUGAUCAGAGUUUGAUCGAUCAAUAUUAAAUUGUUGAUGAAAAUUCGUUGCUUCUUAAACAAAUUUACAAGAUGCGAUGAAUUGAGUUUCUUCCCAGAGAUUAACAAACCAAAUUAUCUUAAUCAGACGAAUCACUUUGCUCUGGUUUCUUAAUUGCGACAUAUUAUUAUCCAUCGUCUUUUGGGUGUUGUUUUUUUUAUUAUUAUUCAAACGUUCAUCAUCGCCUAUUAUCUUUUUCUUCUUUGAUCUAACAAUGGAACUACAAACACCAGAGAAAAUGGAAAAAGAAGCCAAGCGAAUGAAAAGAGAAGGCAAGGUUGCAGAGGGUUGUGAAUACUGUGGUCUUCAGGAUCACAAUAAAACAUGCAAAGAAUUUGAUGAAUUUACAAAUUGGAAAGGUGCAUGCUCUCCAGCACCCCCUUGUGGAGAGCAUGAUGAUACCAAGGAGUCUCAGGAAUCAGAGUCGGAGGCUGUUACCUGCAACAGAUUAUACUCCUCAAAACCACUUAUUGAGGCCCAGCAACAUGAUGAUACCAAGGAUAUAACUAUAAGCGCUACUACUGCUAAGUAGCUUGAUUAUUAGUGAAUAUUGUAGAUUCCAAGUAUUACGAUCAAGUACGGUUUGAAUUCAAAUGUAUGCAAAUGAGAUUGUUAUUCUCACUUUCUUCCAUCUUACAUUCCAAAAUUAGUAGGUACUCGAUCAUAUGAAAUUGAGAGUGAAGGUUGAUUUGAAAAUAGAAACGUAUGUUUGCAUAUAUAUAUAUAUAUAUAUAUAUAUAUAUAUAUAUUAUAUACAGUAGGAUUAUAUAGCUAAAGAUAGCUGUUUCUACGUCUUCGAUCUUCUUCUUCUAGCUAGCUAGUUUCUUUAUGUAUAAGAGUGUGAGGGUCUUUUUUGAAUUAAAUUGCGACUAGGCCAAAAUUAACCCAAUAAUCCGAUUAUUGGGAAGACUUUGUACGUGAUUCAGAUCAAGUAGAAAUCAAAAGGAACUUGACAGCAUGAAGCAUGGUGUGGGAGCUAGAAACGCACUGUGGUGAGAGAAUUUAGGGGUUUUUUGGAAAAAAUAGAGAUUGAAGGUGGUUGUUUGGAAUGGUGAUUAAUGAUUGGAUUUGGUGGUGGAGGCUUGAAGGCUUGAAUGCUUGAGGGCAUGAAAGUUGUUUCUAGGCGUUUUCUGGGUUUUACAGGAUUAUGCUUGAUGGUUGUUCUGGUCCUAAACUCCUAGUUUUAUAGGCUUAGCUUUGAGGUGUUGGGGUGAUCCAAAGCAUCUUAUUAUUUGGGUAAAACACUCCCUCUAUCAAUUCACGUGAUUUCUACCCUAAAACCCUGCAAAAGGAAGCUUACUUCAAGGUGGGUGGUUCUCAGAAGAAAAGGGUUGUUGCGAUGACAACGAUCAUGACAUCAGAAAACAAGGAGCGAUGUGAACAAGAGAGAUUGGAAAGUGUGAGCUCAUUGUUUGGGGGGAAGGAAGAAGCUUUUGUCUGGUCUCGUGGCUUCUUCUAACAGAACAAGGCUAUGAUUCAGAGAAGAGUUGUUUUUGGACUAUGUAUAUGGUUGUUGCGGGGAAGAAGGAAUCUGGGUAAUUGGUUGCUGCAGGGAAAAGAAGACGUGUUAGAAAGGAAGAAGAAGAAAGAAGGGGAGUUGGGCUUUCUUAUAUGGGCAUUAGGUUUCAAAUGAAAGGCUAGCUGGCCCAAUUCUCAUGUUCACCAUUUCAUUGCCGAUUUAAAUCGUUGAGCCUGGAUUUCGGGCCCAAGACCAAAAUCAUCAACGAUAUUAAAUUGGUAGAUUAGCAUUAUACGUUCCCGUAACCUUCCACACCACACCCACAUCUGCAAGCCCCAAUAUUGUGUGGAUGUUGCUGAGGCCCACAUCUAGGGUAUGCUUACUUGGCACGUUAAAACCGAAGGAUAGGUAUGAAUAUAUAAUUCUAUAAAACUAUAGAAUUUCAUACUAAAUGCUUGUUUAUGCAUGUAAUUGUUGUAACGGCAUGCUAGUGAAUCGCUUGAUUUUUCAGGUAUCAAUAGAGAGCAUAUUAUGACAGGCAAUGGAUUCACCAAAAAGGGGAUAAAACAAUCAGCAAAUACUAUCAGAAUGUACCAAAUCUAAGGCAUUGAAUUCCCUUGCAAAGAUGAGGACAUAAAGUCAAACAUUCAAGCAUUACAAUUACAGAAGAAAUAGUUCAUUUUAAAUUGCAACCUCUUAUGGACGGUGACCUGCUCAUUUACACUUGGAAGCAUUUCCUGAAUUGAUAGUUCAAACUGUUCUGUUCUUUUUUCUUUUUUCUUUUCAGGCAAUGUUGUGCUAUGGCCACACUCAACAGAUUACAAAUACUUUUAACAGUUGGAACAGAGUUGCACCCUCCAAAUGAAAGAGAGCUUUGGCCUUCAUCAUCUUGAUCACCAAUCCCAGACAUUCACAAUUGCCUGAAACAAAUAUAUAAACACCUCCAAUUAACACCAUAUAAACAUAUAUUGGCAUAACAUAACACUUGAGAAAACGAUUGCAAGCCUAGCACCAAUCACAAGUGGAGAUGCUCAUCAAACACUCUUCCCAUGCAAUAUUUUGUUAAAAAAAAAAUUAAUUCUCAUUAUAAAGGGAACCCUUUACAAGGAAGGUCAUAGUGCAAUGUGAUUGGCAAGAGGCGGUCAACAGAAAACGAAAGCAAAACAUUAAUGAACACUGUAAAGCAGUUGGCAUCCUUGUAGUUCUAAGUUAUAGCAUUGAUUGGUUCGGGAAGCUAUAGCAUAUAAUUUAAUGGCAUUAAAGAUUGUGUAAGAGCAACCUACUUACAGGAACAAGGUGAGAGCAUCACUUCGGGUAGAGAAUAUCAUAGUGACCUGGGCGAUAUAGCAAGGUGAUAAAAGGACUAACUUUCUCAGAGCUACCACUAGCAUUUGGCAGAUCAUUGCCAGUAGGAACGAAAUCGUGAUGAUUCACGCUAACACCACCAGAAUCACAUGAGCUACGGUCAAGAUACACAACACGGAUUGGCACGCCCAGUGCAUCUGACAGGGCAGUGAUGUGCACGUGGUCACUUUCUUCACCCAUUGGUUCCACAGAUGACUUGCAAAACUAUAUUAAGACAAAUCACGGAAGAAAGUCAGAGAGACAAUAGCUUCUCACAUUUACGGCUAUGAAGAAUUGACUUGCAACCACACAGGAUUUAAUUCAAAAAACAAACUUAGCAAAAUGUCCAUGGAGCGAAGAUCCAUCAUUUUCUUAAAAGAUAACAGUAAGAUGAUAUCAAGUUUAUCUUCUAUUCAGUGUGAGUCAAUCAUCUUGAUUACGGAGUUAUUUUGCACAACAUUUCAAAGAAAAAUAUUUGGUUUGACUUGCAGAUACUAAAACAAUGUGAAGAAGGAUUCCUUAACACGUUUUACUGAACCAACCUGCUCUACGGUUGCAUUGGUUAAUCCCAAUAUAAAGGGUUCAAAAAACUCUGAGCGCUUCCUUAUUUCACCGGAGGUAACAAAUCUGAAAAACAUCACAACUAAGAAAACCUAACGAGUCAGUAACAGAAGAAGACAAACAGGACAUGAAAAACUUUGUGUCAUUUGAAUUCGCUCACCAUAGUCGGAUACUGACUGAUCACGGCUCCUUAGUAUGAGCUCAUCAUGACUGCAAAAAUAUUAGAAGUUAGGCAUACAACUCAAAUGUAGGAUAGGAUUUCAAUUUUGAAGUGUGAAUAAAAAGAAAAGGUCAAGCAACCAUCAGUACCUUAUGGAUUCUUCACUUCCUUGAAGAACACUAUCCAGCUGCUCAAGGAAUAACUGAAACAAUUUCCACAGGGAAGAAAGAUUCAUAUGACUUUGUCUUCAUAUAAAAUAAAAGGGAAUAGAUAAUCAAAACUCUUGUUUCAGUAGUGAAAAACGUUAUGGGCAAUAAGAAAUUUGAAUGGAACAAACUUUAACAAUGCAAUGAUCAAUUAUGUUCUCCAUGUGAAACCACAGCUUUUACUAUGUUCAUAUCUAGCUUUCCCUAAACCCACGGUUGUAUCAUCUGACCUAUUUAUAAAAGAUGUGCUUCGCAGUGAUUAUUGAUAUAUAGAGAACAUAUCAUGUGCUCAUAUCAAAGCUGACUAUCAAGGAGAGUCAGUGGCUUUACUCGAUACCAGAGUUGCAUCUAAAAGAUUAGUAGAUGAAAAAAAGGUACCAAUGGUUCAGAGUGUACGAGUGAAGAUAAUUACCGAAAAGAAGUCCUCAAAAGUAAAGUCUGCGUAACCCAAGCUCUGAAGGGUUUUUCUACAUUGUUCAACAUUACCCUUGAUACGAUCGACUUCACUUACAUCUUGUGAUUCCAAAAUAUGCUCCUGUAUAUAGAUCCCAACCUUCUUUUAGCAGCUAGACUAAAAGAUUACUUUUAUCCAAUAGGAAGCUCAAAAGGCAGACGCCAUUAUGCAAAAACCAAAACUGUUCCAAGAAGAAUAUACAAUGACAUACCAGGUAUGAAAACAUAAAGCUUCGAAAGAAGCAGUUCCCAUCUCCCCGGGUUCUCCGAAUAGCAGCAUAUUGUUCACCAAGAACCUGCAUGACCGUAAAAACCUGUUCGUCAAGAAUCUCAUAUCACAACUAAUGAAACAAGCACUACACAACACACAGCAUAAAGACUGACCUUUAUCUUCUCCAACAAGAUAGCGCUGCCUGAUUGAUACUCAGCUGCCAGCGACGAUAGUGGCUCCUGCUCAUUCAAACACAAAAACAACCAAAACUUCAUUCCACAAUCCACCCAAAUGCAAGAAUUUGAAUUGAAACAAGACAGCGCGGUUGAUCUCAAGUUUGGUAGUCUAACCUUGUCCCCGAGGAAGGGAAUUUUCUCAGCCUCCUCGGCACGAAUGGCAGAGUGCUGCUGCAUGAUAUCCUGGUCACCAAAGCUUGGCCACUCAUCAACCUCAGGUGUAGCAACCGAGGGGGCCGGCCCAGAUUCCACUUCCCCAUCCACUUGUACUUGAAGCCCUUCCUGAUUCUGCAUUGCCUAAUUCAAACCACAAACCACAACAGCAACAAACCCAAUUCAAACCCCUAAUUCCUCUUCUUCAUAUAAACCCCAAUUUCAACACAAAACCCAAGAAACCCACAAAAAUUUAGCGUAAAUUUAAACUAGCAUUAUGAAAAAGAUUCAAUCUUUAAUCCAUUGAUUCAUGUAAGAAGCAAGAAAAUUGACAGUGUUGAGAAUUGAAGAGUAAAGAAGCGAAAUUUAGGUUAAAAGGGAAGGGAGGAAAGAUACCUGGGGAUGAAACGGCGUCGUCUGGUGUGGGGAUCGAAUUGAAAACUGGGGUGGCCGCUCUCUCUGGGAUUAUUUUGCGAUGAAGACCAGGGUAUAGCAGCGCAGUGAAUGUGUCAUUUUUAUUCCUGUUCAGUCAUUUCCAUCUUUUACCUUCUUUUACACGUGCGUAAUAAUUCUUCAUCCAAUUCACUGUCCAGUAAUUUUACUUUCUUUUUAUUAACCAAAUGUGACUUUGAAAUGAUACAUCAGCUUUUUUAUUUUUUAAAAUAUCAUAAUUACCCUUAUCAUUUUAAUAAAAGUUCUCCAAUAGUUUGAAAUCUUUCAAGGUCAUUUAUGUCAUCACCGUAAAAUAGUCUUUGGUUUUAUUUUGGUACAUAAUCCACCACAACAACAUUUACCUGUCGUCAUCUUCAACCUCCAGCACUGUUCAGCCUCGAUUUCCAGGUAUUCUUCCAUCAAUCAAAUCUCACUGCAUGUCAUUCAUAUCAUCACCAAUAACCAAUAUCAUUUCUGUGGACUAAUCAUGAUUACGAUUGAAAGAAACAAUAUGAUUUGGAUUGCGAUUCACAGAUGGGAAUGGAUAUAGGAUUAUAAUCAUAAGCUUAUUUCACCUGAAAGUUGAAUGUUAGUUUUAUUCACUGGGUAGUAAAUUGGUUGCCUUUAAAUAAAUUGGAGUGGAAAAAUUGAGAAUUUUCCUGGUGCUGGUGGUGAUGUUUGGUUUCUCAUAAUGUGUUAUGAUCAAGUGUAGAUAUAGAACAGCAAUACAUAUAUAGAACAUGAAUAAUGCAUUGUGUGUUUGUGUUUGCUAUUAGCAGUGUAUCGAUGGGAAAAAGUCGAGGCAAGGGUUUAAGCAAAAGGGUCCUAACUAUGGAUCAUGAUGGUAGGAUUAGGAAGAUAGAGAACAGUUUUACAAAGAAAAAGAAGAAAUCUAAGAAGAUAAGUGAAUCUUCCAUCCCCGAGACAGCAGCUGAGCUUACUAGAGGCAACUCUGCUUCCAAUGUCACUAAGGCAACUUCUUCUAGUCAUGCUAAUCGAGCUACUAAUGAUAGUGGGUGGUCAUUUUCUGGUUUUAUAUUUAUGUGUAAUGGAAAGACCAAACCUGAAUGUUAUCAGAAUCGUGUUUUUGGGAUGCCACUGCCAAAAGAAGAAGUUGUAAAGACGAUCAAACAGGGUACACAUCUGUUUUUAUAUGACUUUGACUUGAAGCUCCUUUAUGGCACAUAUGAGGCAACAUCAGAUGGAGCAUUAGAUUUGGAGCCAAUUGCGUUCAAGGGAAAAUUUCCUGCACAGGUAACAGUGUUCUGUCCGUAUUCAAAAUGUAAAUUUCAUGAAAGUAAGGACUGCACACAGACAUAAACUACUUCACCAAAUACUUCACGCAGGAUCUUUCUCACAGACAUAAACUACACAUUCAGAUUGUCAGUCUCACAGAACAUUCCCUAGGUUAAGGGUUUUUAAAGACUAUUAAUUUUUUUAAUUUUUGGCUGAAGGUAAGGAUUAAUAUCAUAGUUCUUAAUUCAUAUAUGAAUAAUACCUUAUACAGCUCAGGUGUUCAUAGUUGAUCUAAUGACUUGUCACCCACAGGUCUGUGUGUAUGGAUAUAUGUGUAGUCUGAGUCUUUACUAGACCUACAAUAAGGAAUAUCAUCUUAUGUUUUGGAUUAUAUGUGGACUGCAUGGACCUGUCUUUAGAAAAAGAAGUCCAUCCCAACUGUGUAUCUGUGUUAACCUCACCAUAUAUGAUUGAAGGGCUUAGAUGCUAUCAUUCAAAUCAGCCUCUUACUACUUAUUUGUGCAUGAUUGUGUGUGUAAGUGCAUCAUACCAUCCAUCAAUCAUGGGACAUGGGAAGCUUGACGGGCGAUAGUUGUAUGUUUGUGUAGUUUAUACAAGGGCUAGUGUCAGGUAUAAAAUUUGACGGGAGGUGUAAAAUUUGAUACUCAAGUAGAAUGUGGUUUAAUGCAGAAAAGGGACAAUUUUAGUGACUAGAAAACCGGAAGGGUUUAAUAAGGCUUGACUGGUGUGAUAGUUAUAUGUUAGCAUAGAGCAAGGGCUAGUGGCAGUUAGCAAGACAAUAAGAGUUUUAGUGAAAAAGUAUUUUAGUAGAAGGUGAUUUGAAGCUGAAAAGGGCACAUUCUUGGUUACUUACAACUGAAAGGCUUUGGGCAGAUCCAGUGAAAUAGGACUAAGUUUGGAACACAAUGCCAUCAAAUUAUCACUUAAAUGUGGAAAAUUAAGAAAUUUCCCAUUUAUCGUUUUUUUAUCUGAAUCCCUUUUUUGAUUUUCAGGGCUCCAGAAUGAUUUUUUUUUUUUAAAUAUCUGUGUACUUGAUAGAAAAACAUGCUACUUUCUGUCUAUGGUUUGCUUAAUUUCUGAUCAUUGUUUUUUCUUUCUGUAAAUUGUUUUCUUUUAUUUAGGUCAGGUUUAAGAUUUCCAAGGAUUGUUUACCGCUUCACGAAAGUUCCUUUAGAGCAGCCAUAAGAGACAAUUACCAGGGUGGUAAGUUUAAACAAGAGCUGAAUAAAAAACAGGUGAAACGACAUUCACAUUCUUUUUGCUUGUUACUGAAAAGAUUUUCAUUUGGUUUCUAUCACCAAGUAUUAGAUUUAUCUUCUUUUCUUUUCUCUAAAAUUGUUUGUUAUAUGUAUUAAUUAGCAAAUUUUGAUGUAGGUGCGUGCUCUAUACUCUAUGUUCCGCCCAAUCAAAGCGUCAAUUCCUACUUCUGCUGCCCAUCACCAAGAUGUGGCAAGAAUAGGCUCAUAUCAAUCUCCUAUUGGGGAAGAAGGAUUUUAUCCAACAGCAAGCCCGUGUCUACAAGAGAGCUUAUAUUUAUCUAGUGUACAACGCACUCAUGGAUUGCCACUUCUUCGUAUGCAAUCUAAACAGGUUGUCCCAUAUCCACAGUAUGAUAAAUAUGAAGCGGAAGAGUAUGUGGCUCAUGUUCAGCCUCCCAUAGAGCCUUGGCAUGUUGUUCAGCAUCAUGCAGAUUCGUAUUCUCUAGCAGCCGCCCAUCAGCCAUAUGUGCCUGAGAAGUCUUUCCUGUCCUCCCAUGAUGCACAUAGAAGGUAUUUUCCUUUGCCACAACUUUGUACAAUUUAACACCCUUUGAGCCUCUAUUAUGUGAACUUCUGUAAUAUGGCAGUUUCUUUUAUAUUCUAUACUAUUACAAAGGGGAAAGCAUAUGCAAAUAUAUAGUGAAAACUGAAAAGUAGUACUAUGCAACCAUCAAUCACCUUCUGUCUUUGUCCUCUCUCUUUUUUUCAGAUUCACUCUGCGAUGAGAUCUGAUAGCCUUUACUUGUGUAUUAGAGUCAAGUAUAUUCUGUCUAUUAUCUAAAUCAGAGGGUUAUACUAAAUUUUACGUCAUGCAUUUCUUAGUUUUGGCUUCUAAUGUCUACAGUUAACUUUAGAUAGUGGUCUAAACUCUAAACAUAUCUAGUGCUGGCCAUGGAUAUGAAGGAGGUUCUUAUUUUUUUGUCUUUCCUAAUGGAUGGAUAGAGUGAGGUUGGGGUUGUCUGCUGUCUCUUGUGGUAAUUGAAUUUGAAGUUUAGUUUUUGUUAGGAUCUCAUCCUUGUAAGGUUAGACCCCCUCUUUGAUAUAUAAACGUUUGCACUGGGCUUCUUCUUAGGCAAGGGGUCACGCAUUCACAGGAGAUGGUUCCUAGGGAUCAAGUUAUUUCAUAUGGAAGCGUGUAUCACUUGUCACAGUUGCUGAAGGAGAGAGAAAGAGACAUUGUCUCCCAUUCUGAUUAUAUUGCGGAAACAUAUAGUCGACAGUUGCCAACUCUUGCAGCGUCACAGUUUAGGUCACAAUCAGAUUCUGCGGCAUCAUCUUAUGAGUUACCGCCAACUUACCAACCGUAUUAUCAAGCAACGACCCAUCACGAUCAGAACCGGGUGGAUCAUGAUCCUCUUGAGAGACCAUUACAUGGAAGCUCUAAUGUGACAGAUAUGCCAAUCUAUUCUCACUUGUCUUCCACCGGAGCUACGCGCUACUACUGAAUGAAACUUAGGCUUGCAAGUUCUUUUUCAAGUCAUACUGCUGUGGUUGUCAUUGUUCUAUUGCCAAAUCCCGGUUUGAACUCAUUGUGAGAUCAUCAUACAUAAUCGUUUUUGUUCCUGCCAGCAGUCUAUCAAUUUCUUUUAUAUUAGGGAAGCUGGUGCCCCAUUUUCAUCGUGUGCAGACAUCAGUCCUUUAGAUAUGUUUCUGGUGCAAUGCAGAGCUUGAAGCAACCAAUCAAGUUGGAAGAAUCCGACUCAGACUAGUUCACUUAGGAAACUCUGUAUAUACAUAACUUGAUCGCUUCUGCAGGAUUAGAUCUACCUUGUAUGAUUACCAUAAAUGCAUAAAUUCUUUUGCUAUUUGUUCGAGAACAGCGACAAAUUGUUUUCUUGUAGUACAGAUUUCCUAGUAAUCUGAUAUCACAUCUUCUUGAACCUUGCUGCUUGGUUUCUUUCUUCUGACAAAAACAGUGGAAUGACCAAUUCAUGGAUCAAGAACUAUGGGCCUAGCUAGAAGGGUUUUAGCAUUUCAUAUUCAAUCAUAAUCACAACCUCUCUCGUCUCUAAUGUCACCAUGAUGCAUCUAAACCAUCAUCUAUGGCUAUCUGGCCCUCCACGGUGUGGGUUUAGGUUUAGGUUGGUCCCUUUGGACCUUGACCUGCUUGACAUUAGUGCAUUUCCCAUCCACCCGUGACCAACCUAGCUCAACUGGGAUUUACCAAAUCUAUUACAUCUUGUAGUCUUCUACCUCCAAACCUGUUACCUCAAGACCCAAGUUUUCAACUCUGCCCGAUUCUAUAUUUCAAUAUUUGAUGCCUACUUUCUUGUUCGGGCAAGUCAUGAUCAAGUACCAAGUAUAUUAGUUAUAUAACCAGUUUUGGUCGUCUCCUCCUGUGAAGGCUGAAGGGUGACGUUUGAAGGUGGCCUAGUAAGUCAGCGACAGCGCCCAGCAAGGCCGGUUUCUGGGUCAGACGUUUACCAACACACCUCCAUUGGUAAGCUAGCCAUACAUUCAACUCUAACUAGUUUGACUGCAUUAUCAAAUCAAUAAUAAUAAAAAUAAUGCAAGUGCACCUAGUUUGUGCUUCUUCAACUCCUUCCGGCCGAGCAAUUCCUCAUGCACACAUGUGUAUAAUGGGAGAUGGGGACAUUCAUCUCCAUCUAGAAUCGAAGCAGAAGAAGAGGUCAAGAAGAAGAAUGAAAUAUAGUCUUUACGUGAUCAAGGUAGUAAUGUUCAAUAAUGAUAUGAUUAAGACAUUGUCAUGUAGGACGAUGGCUUCUACCAAGUGCUCUCUCCUAUCCGGAGUCGAACUUUGAGAUUUUGCAAGUCUAAGAGACGAACAAAGGUCAUACGCAGCCGCCUAAUUAAAGGGCUUAUAAAUCCGCGGUGUUUGUCUCAAGGUAACAAGUUCUAUAAGAUGCAAAUACCGUCUUACAUGUGGUUAAAACAAGGAUGUUUCAACCUAAAAGAAGCUAAUUAUGUAAAUUAUAUCAUUUCGUUCGCUCUUCUUCAAUAGAUUGUUAUAAAAUUCACAUCGUUCGAGUCUAUAUACCAAUCCCAUGGUGGUGGAUUUCCGUAGAUAAUAUAUUUGGAUUUACUGAUUUGCUUGGACUUUAGAGAAAGAAUAUAUGCGGGUUAAGAUGAGUGUAGAACGACCAGAAGCUAUAGAAAUAGCAUGUGUACGCGUGAAGAGAUGACAAGGAUCACAUGAGGAUGGAUCAAAAAGACACCCAAAUAUAUAUUCGAUCCCUAUUUCAAAGUGAACAUGCAUGCAUGUCUAUCCCCUGCAGACAUGUUUUACCUUCCUGCAGCCUCACUAGCUAGUAGUACUACUACUACUCCAUUGAUGUCCUUCUAGUCCAUCUAGCUCUCGUGCUUCUUCUGGGGUUGAUGGAGGAGGAGGAUCUCAGACUCGGCAGAAAAUGAUAGAUCAGUAUCAUUGUGAUUUGGACGGUUGAAUUCGCAUGCAUAUGCAUGUACAUGAUUACAAGAAGUCAAGAACCAAGCAGUUCAAAGCUAGAUAAAACAUAAAAGCAUGGAAGAAGGGCUUUUUCUGGCUUUGAAGAUGAGAAUACAUGUGAAAGACUUGUCUGUAUCUGCAACUGCAUGUGCAGAAAAUCUUUCCCCUGUAUAACUAAUAAUUGUACACAGCUUCCUGGGAAGGAGGCUUAAUUUAUAGAUGAACAUAUAUACAAUGCGCUGUAUAUCAAAUCUUAUUCAGAGCAUACAAUGCGCUCGUAUUUGUACAUCAAUUAUAGAUGAACUUUAUAUUAUCGCGUGCUACAUAAAUCUGUGUACGUGCUGCUAAUCGUAAGCCUGAAUUGGAAAAGUGCUAAUUAAGAAACUUACGAUUCAUUUGCAGAAUAAGCAUGCAAGCCAAAUGGUUAAGGUAGGAAACGUCUUGGCUAUCAAGCAAAGUGUAAACCUAGUCUACAUUACCCGAUAAUGAUUCUAAUCGAUCACGAACUAAUUGUUUAUCACCAACCUAUUAGGUUGAUGGAGUCAAAUAAAACAUUCACCUGAAAGCUCCCUUCAUAUGAUGAAGAAAAGAGCAUAUGUUCUUGAUCCUGACCUACACAAUAAACCAAACUCGAUCACAUAAUAAUAAUAUAUAGAAGGUAUUUCCAUUUCGACGGUGAAGAAAGGUCCAAGUCCAACUUAAUAAAUCAAUACCAGUAGUAGUAGUAGUAGUAGUGGACAGUAGCUAGCCAUGUGAAGAUUGGGAUCAUCUUCCUCCUUGCACAAACGUGAAAUCUUAAAACAGUGACACGUACGGCGUGACGAUCAUUAAGUUGGAAAAUCCCCAAUUAACUAUACAGGUUUAGUUUAAUUAAUUGAGAUUAGCUUCCUAACACUGUUUCAGGGUGCCAAUUUUAUAUUAGCUUGAUGUAUAUACACAAAUGGAAUACUACCCAAAACGAUUCUCUAGCUAGGUUGAUUAGAAGCGGCAUGGGAAAGGCAAGUCCAAUUUUGGUACAGCACCAACAUCCUACAAGAUAUCAUAUUCGUGAAAUGAAUCAUAAGUUACAAAUCAAGUAGAUUUAAAUUGGGAUAAAGAAAGUUAGAUAAUAGAACACUUUCUUUGAAAUGGUUUAGUCUUCGACUAGCUAGCUAGCUUUGAAAUUAUUAUGUACAAUAUUGAAAGUAAAGCUAUAUUUAAAUAAAUAUAUAUAUAUAUAUAUAUUAAACAAUCUCACGGUUAUCGUUUUCUAUAACCGAUAGCAUCAGAUUUAAGUAAUAUCAAAUAAUCGAGUCAAAUUGUCAGUUUGAACAGAAACUGACGUCAAAAUUAUAUAUAUCAAAAAAUAAACAUAAAUGUUAUCAAACAAAUCGAAUUUGAUACUAUUCUGAGUUACACCCAAAUUAUGUGGAUCAAAUUUUGAGAAAAGGGUCAAAAACGUUUCCUUUUUUGAAUUUGAGGGGAUGAACACAACUUUCAUUUCCUUCUCAUAUAUAUUUACCAAACCAAAAGAAGAUAAACCAAAAGAAUCAGACCAAUGAAAGCCUUCCUUUCUUAACCCUAUUUUCCCCUCUCUCUGUCUCUCUCUUAAUUCUGCUUUUCUUUUCAAUACCACCCUCUCCCCACAACACUUAUAUACUCUCGGAUCUGAUAGAUCCUUGGUCUUGAAACCUUGAUGUCCUAAUCUUCUUCACACCAAGCAGGAAAUUACAAAUCUAGACCAUCCUAUAUAUACCAUCUUUGCCGAGUAGAGUUACUUCGAGCUAGAAAAGGUGGAUCAUAACCGGAGACAUGGAAAGCGGCCACUUCCUUCGGAAACGUCGGAGGAGAAAGAGAGGCACGAUGACUUCCCUCCUCCUUCUAGCUACGAAUCUUCGUGGACAGAAGCAGACAUGUCAGCCAUGGUUUCUGCUCUCACUCAAGUUAUCGGAAACCCCGAAGAAGAUAACAAGCAGGUGCAAUCAAACCCUGCUUCAGUGAAAGAUGAACCGGACCGCUCACAACCGGUUCAAGAUCAAGGUACAUAGAUCAUCAUAGCUACAAGCUUCUAGUAUCUUUGAUUUUCUGCUUUCUUCAUUUUGAUUUCCUUUUCGCUUUUUUUAUUUUUAUUUUUUGCUUUAUUUUAGUUCAUAUGAUGAUACUGACAUCUGCUAUUGGAUUUGUGUGUGUAAGGUGUGCUUCACAAUUUGGUUUCUGAUUUCGAUCCCUUUGUUUGUUUUCACACUUGCAUUUGCAGUGUCAAAGUGGUCAUGAUCUUACACUUGUCCAUCUUCAAAUUCCUUUUUGGACACAAAGAUAACACACACAUAAACUUAGUCAUCACCAGCUAGCUAGUUUGCUCUUUCUUCCUUAACCCUAUCAAAGAUUUCAAGCCUGUUGUUCCAUCUGUGUAGAGUAUAUGUGUAGGACUUAUAUACCCAGAUGCAGAUUUGACUAGAACUCUAAGAGAAAUCAUAUAUGGUCCAUUGAUAAUGUAGACAAUCAAGUUCAAUGUUAUCCUUGGCCUAAGCUACUUUCCGUGAAGAACCUUCUUUCUAUAUACCUCACCCAACUAGCUAAAAUAGUAAAAUUGGUUCUUGUUUCUUCUAAAAACAUUAAUUCUUUCAUGUUUUUAUCAUCUCUCACUACUACAAGAUCUUGUGUGUUUGUCCUCAUUACUUAGUUUAAUUACAAAUCACACCGUGGGGUCUUAUCCUUUUUGCUAUAUUCCUAAUUCUAGUCCAUCUUGUCUUUGCAUUAUGUAAUCUUGAUAAUGACAUGCAUCUAAUCUUUUAGAGGCAUUUUGGUAGCUCGAGUUUUCUGGAAGAUUUGGUAAACUAGUUUUGUGCGCAAUAAGUUGUUUAUCUAAAAGAGGGUUUACCUACAUUUUAGAAAGAUAUACAAAUGAGAUUAUGUUAUUCUCAUUUUCAGUAGUUCAUCUUACAUUCCAAAAUUAGGUACUCGAUUAUACGAAAUUGAGAGUGAAGGUUGAUUUGAAAAUAGAAAAUAUAUGUAUAGUAAGAUUAUAUAGUUGAAGCUAGCUGUUUAUACACUUUAACAUAUACAGUAAUAGUAAUGUAUAGGGCGCACUUGCAACUGACACUCUUUCUCCAUUUCUUCAUCUUCUAGGAUUUCUAGCUAGUUUCCUUAUGACAUGUUUUGUCCAACUUUGACAUAUAUAAUACUAAGCUAUGAACAUUUGUAUUUGUGAAGAGAGUACUGUGAGAAGAAGGCACUAUAGAGGAGUGAGGCAAAGGCCUUGGGGCAAAUGGGCAGCCGAAAUCCGAGACCCUAAGAAAGCAGCUCGAGUUUGGCUAGGAACUUUUGAGACAGCUGAGGAUGCAGCCAUUGCAUAUGAUAAUGCAGCUCUCAAAUUUAAAGGCACAAAAGCCAAGCUCAACUUUCCUGAACGAGUUCAAGGUAACUCCAGCAUCCUUAUUCAGGGUUCAUCCGGCACGACAAGUAGCGGCAGCAGUGUCUCCACUGAACGAAAUCGGAGCCGACCAGCCUUAACCGUUCCUCAUCAUGAUGCUUCCUAUGUUGCACCGUCCCAGCCGCAGCAGGAAAGUAGUAGCUUCCCUGAUCUAUAUCAAUAUGCGCAGCUUCUUCAAAGCAAUGAUAUUGAUUUCAGCUCGAAUUAUCAGUACCCUCCAAAUAAUCCAUUCAAUCAAGAUUAUCAUCCGCAGUAUUCUACUCCGCAGUUUCCACCAUCAACAUAUUAUCCUUCGCAUCAGCAACAAGGACAGCAAGACGAUCAUGUUCAGGAAGAUCAUCAGAAUGAGAACAAGAACUGGAAUAGGCGUAAUCCGAGCGAGUAGUAGCUUGUACGUGGUAGUUGUACUGCAUAAGUGCUAUUUAAUUUUGAGGUUCUUCUCUCGAUCUAUAUAUAUUAUUGAGAGCAUUUAUUUGUUUUUUCAAGUUCUAGCUAGCUAGUAGUGUUAAUUAUCUUCAAGCUGUUCAUUUCCCAUUACUAUAUUUAGCAGACUCAGUUGGUAAGUUUGCCAGAACUUACGUAUGUAUUGUUGGAGCCAUGCAUUUAAAGAAGCUAGCAGAGACUAAUGCAGUCUAUCUCGGCCAUAUAUCUCUGUGGGUGAGUUUUCUCGUGUUGAGUCUAUUAUCAUAAGGGUACUUGGACCUUAGAAUCUCAUAUAAAACGUCCUGCAGUUGGGGAAAGGUGUUUGCCUUACCAAAUAAUAUAGGGUUUGUCCGUUUGUAAAUAGAUUUUCAUCCAAAUAUGAGGAAAGGAAAAAAAGAAUAAUUUUACACUUCCACGUUCGAAAUUUUUUGUUUCGAUCGUUUGGCAAUUAAGAAUGGAUCACAGCCAAAUUUUUGUUAGUGCACAAAGAAGUGAAGAACAAUCUCAAAAUGAAAUGUAUCCUCGUUAGUGUACAAAGAACGAGUGUACGUAAAUUGAGCUUACGCUCAAAGAGUAGGUUUCAAUAGGUUUCACAUAUUUUAUAGUAACAGAGAACGUUCAGUAUUCUACCAAUUAAGUACCAACUAGUUUUUGCAUUAGUAAUUAAGCAUAAGCUCAUCUUAGAGCAUGAAAAACACCGAAUCCACUAUUACAAGUUUAUAAAUGAUAUUAUCGAUCCUAUCGGCAUAUGCAUAAUUCUAUACACAAGCACAAGGAUUAUGAGAAAAGGCUAGUACACCAUCGAUCAUCACGUCUUCAAUCAACCUCAUAUAUUCGAUCGACUCAUAUAUACUUUGUAUGAGAAACGAAUCUAAGCAUGACAAAGAACAUCACGUUACUCGAUCACGAAGUGUUCAUAAGUCCCAGAUAUCCAUCACCUCUCUAUUCCUUUCACACACUUCUGAAACCACAAACGCUCUACCUAGUCUACAACAAUCACCAUCACGAUGCUACUUAUUCAUAUCGAUAAUUCCUCACCAAAAAUAAUCAUCAGAAAAGCUUUAAAGUGAAAUAAUAGCACAGCUUUCCGAUACGCUUUUAUUGCAUGCCAAAUUGCCAACUUUUCUAAAUGCACGAACUAUAGGUUGUCCAUCAUCAUGAGCCAUCAUCAUAUCGCUUCUUAACCUCUGGUAUCGACUUCAUCCACGUAAAAAAAUGCGAGUCCUUAAAGCUGAAGCAAACCCAGAAAAACCUUAAUUACCCUAGCGGCACAUAAAGUGAUGCAAUUUGUAUUUUGUAACACUCACAUUUAGAACAAGAUCGAUCAAUAUAGUGAAACAUGUUUGAUCAUGCUUUUGAACUUUGGAUCCCACAACCUUUAAACGUGUCAUAUGGUACAAUUUAACCCUUUAUUCUCAUAAUGUUGUAGAUAGAUACUCAGUACGUCUAAUUAAGUAAAACUAAGAGUAUCAACCGAGCAUUCUAUCGUUACAAUACUUCAAGCAAUACUCCGACUCGACCAUCAUCCCUACACCGAUCGGAGUAUAGUGAUGUUUUAAACUAGAUAAGUACCAUCGACCUCAUGUAUAGAUACACCACUAAAACCCUAAGUGCAUGUUUGAUAAAAAGUCCAGUUUGAUUAGUCUCAUGUUUGAUGUUAAUGUGUAUAUAAAUAAAUGAACUUACGUAACAUCUUGUUUUUAUUAUGGUUUUUUUAGAUAUUAUUAUUAUGGGUACUCAAAUUGAUCAACGCUAUCAUUUUAACCAUAAACCAAACAAAUUACUCUCUAAUCUUAUUGGUUAAUAUUAAUACAACUUAAAACAGAGCUAACAGUCUUAAAAUAUAAAAAGAUCUAAUGAGUAUUAAGUACCAAAACAUGCACUUAAAAACUAAACUCUUUUUGUCAUAACGAUCAGUACACAAAGGACAGAACUGCUCAACUCAGUGCUCAAAACCGCUAAACGAUGCGCAUGCUAGGGAGCUGAAGUGGGCCUUUACCCAACUUGCCUCCCACAGAAAAAGGUUAGGCCGGAGUGGGCCCAGCCGCAAACCGUCCAGAAAAAGCCCAAAAUAGCAAAACGACAAAAGGAGAAAGCGGAGGGAGAAGCUUCCUUAAUCCUCACGCUUAUUCUUGAAGCGCAUGAGUGCCGACGUGGGCGACGUGGGCGACGUGGGCGCGUGUUUCGAGAAGGAGAGACCGAGCAUGGGAUUAGGGCAAUAUCUGAAAACGACAUGUAGGCCGGGAGAUCGGGAGUGGGACCUUGUCGUUUGAUUUUGACAAGAAGGGGAAGGGGGAGAGGGAAAAGGGGAUGCUCUGGUUUUUCUGGACGCUUUCGGUUCACUAUGUCAAGUUUUGCGGCUAGUCGGCUACUGGCUCAUCUUUCUUCUUACACACCGUGAUAUUUUUCGAAAUGAAAACCCUAGAUCGUGUUGAGCACAAAAGCAAGAAGCACUUGGGAAUUGCGAGUGUCAUUUUACAUUGAGAGAGAAUCCGUCAUAGUUUCCCUCCUUUUUGUUUUGAAUGUGUGAGUUUAAAUUCAUUUAAAUACGGUAUACUCAUUGAGUGUAGCCGCUUAGAGGCCCUAAUGUAUGAGAUUUGAUUUGUAAGAUGUAACUAACAUCAUUUUUGUUUUGUUUUGAGGGAAGUAAAAUAAGGUAAAUAUGUAAGUUUGAACUCAUGUAAGUAUACCAUCGAAUGUGGUAGUUUAAAAGUCAUAAUAUAUGAGAUUUUAUUUGUAACCAUCUCAUUUUAAUGUGUUGAAUGCUUCUUUAUGUUCUUGCUUCUUGGCUUCUUACGAUGAUGUAUUAUAUUGCUAAACUGAUAAUGUAAAUUUGGUCUAAAAUUGUGUUUGGCUUGACAGUACAAAUUAAAUGACUUGUAUUAUGAGAAGAAACCCGAUUUUGAAAUCUAUCAAAACUAAAACAUGUUAGUUACAAAUCUCCCAAGCGAAAAUGGACCUAAGCCAUCCUUUAAAUUCUCACAUAUGAAUUAGUAGCUAAGCAGGAAGACACCUAAUUUCAAGACCGAACGAACUCAAAAGACACUUUUUUUUUCAAAGGCGAACUCGUAGACUUAUUUUAUUCAGGACAAUACAUUAUGGACUGGGAUAGUCGGCCCAAACAUGAAAAGCCUAAAAUUUGGCCCAAAGCUAGAGCAAAACAAAAUGAAAUAUAAGAAUAAAAAGACAAUGUUGACAGUGGGAUUUGAACCCACGCCCUUUCGGACCAGAACCUUAAUCUGGCGCCUUAGACCAACUCGGCCAUAUCAACAUUAUUGAAGAUGAACUGUGCAAAUACUAUUUAUUCGCGUCAAAACACAGUUUCUCAUAGAAUUUUUUGGAACACAGCCACCUCUCGAACUGAAUUGUGAACUUGCACUGCACUUGUAACAUCCACACAUCCAAACAGCACCAACACGAUUUCUAUUAUCAACUAAAAACACCAAAAUUAUCACCGGGUUCAGUCGUUUCUGCUGAAUUGAAGUUUUCUGUCUUCUGGGUCCGGCCAUGGCUUCUCAUAUGCUUUACGCAUCCAUCAUCACUUCUCAUCCUUCAUCAAACCUCACCAAGCUUCCAAGGCCUUCUUCUUCUUCAUCACCCAGACUUCCAACUCGACUCAAGUCUUUCAAGUGCAAGGCUCAAAGCUCAAGCUCUCAGUCCCAGACUGUCUAUCAGGGCAUCUAUGGCCCUUGGUCUGUUGACUCCACUGACGUUAAAGAGGUUUGAUAACCAAUCCCAUUAAACCCAGAUUGAGUUUUCCAUCUUUAUUGUUAAAACUGAAUUUUUUUUUUUCGGUGUGGCAGGUCAUUCUGUACAGGUCAGGAUUAGUGACUGCUGCUACAUCAUUUGUAAUUGCAGCUUCUACUGCCUUUUUGCCUGACAGUUUCUUAGCUAACGAGGUUAUUAGGCCUAAUCUUGAUUACUUAUAUGCAAUUGGAGCCGGUGGGUUGGGUUUGUCAUUGGUUCUGAUUCACAUUUAUGUGACUGAGAUUAAGCGCACUUUGCAAGCAUUUUGGGGGCUUGGUGUUGUUGGGUCUUUGGCUGCGUAUAUAUGCUUGGCUCAACCAGCUGGAGAGGGCUUGGUUCAGUAUGUGGUUGAUAACCCCACUGCUGUUUGGUUUGUCGGUCCUUUGUUUGCAGCCCUCACAGGACUGGUUUUCAAGGAAGGUAAUUGUGAAGGAAUCAGAAUAAGAAGUAGAAUAUUGCUUUGUUAUCUGAGUAAACUCUAAAUUGAGUAUUGAGCUUAUCUCAGGUCUUUGCUAUGGAAAGUUGGAAGCUGGACUACUCACAUUCAUAAUACCUAUUGUUCUUCUUGGGCACCUGGUAAAUUGCUCUUGCACAUGUCUUGUUCAACUUGGUCACUUCUCUUAUAUUGUGUUUCAUCGAGGCACUGAUGAAGUUUGCAUUUGAAAUACAGAGUGGCUUGAUGGAUGAUGGAGUGAAACUUUCUCUGCUAGGCUCAUGGAUGGCCCUGUUUGUAUUAUUUGCCGGAAGGAAGUUCACACAACCCAUUAAGGUAGUCUUCUUAUUGACUUGGUUGUGAUGAAGAUUCCUAUUUAGUUUUUGUUACCAUUUGAGAUCAAUGUGCAAAGCAUUUGCUAAUGAACUAAAUGUGUUUUCACUUUCAAGGAUGACAUUGGUGACAAGUCUGUCUUCAUAUUCCAAUCUUUGCCUGAAGAUGAGAAGAAGGCCUUGGUUAAGAAACUUGAGCAACAGGAGUAUAGUCAGAAUCCUAAUUAGUAUGAUGAGCCACAGUGACAGUUUAGUCUAUAGUUCUACUGAACAAGAAUUUUGUGCUAAACAUACUGUACAAGCCUAGUGUAAAGCUAAUUACGAAAUAUAGAAUUGUUCUUCACAUUCUUAUGGUCUCUUGGUGCUUGGUUAUUUUCAAUUGAUAGGAGCUAGAGAUAUUCACCCUACAUAUGAGAUCAUAAAAUCUGCAAGACAUUAAUCUUGACAUCAAAUUGCGUCCUGAAAUUUUAUUACUUUGAGAAGCGAAACUAUAAGCCAAGUAAAAAGCUUGCAACCAUUUACAGAGCUGAAAUGAAAUGCAUAAAAUAGAGAAAACUUUGAGCUGCAGACCAGCUUUCUUAUUGAAGACAGAGUAAAAAUUUAUAAACGGACUGAUAGGCCAAUUGGUGAAGAAAACUUGAUAGGAUGACCACGAGGAGAAACUUGAUCAUGAAUCAAUCAGACUGCCGCUGCCGCUGCCACUGCCAUUUUACCUUUCUUGCUCCUCACUGCUACCCCAGCAUACCACAAUUUCGGUGUUGUUCGACAUCUUUCGCUUACGAGUUGGUUUUUUCUCACAAGCUUGUUGCGGUGUAGUUUCGGUAGUCUCGGGUGCUGGUGAGAUGCUUUCUUUGGCUUCAUCCACAGUCUCUUUUCCAGCAUUGUCAAUUUCUCCCGAUUCCUGAGCUUCUACUUCUUCAUCUCUCUUUUCCUCUUCCAUAUCUUUCAAUUUUUGCUGCAUUUCUUCUAUAGCAUUCAUAAGGUCCGUAUUUACCUGUCAAAUGAGGAAUUUAUACAAUUAAUCAUAUCUGCUUGUAUCAACAGAAUUGUAAAAAAAAUUAACCAUUUGAAGCUCAAAUUUCAUUUAUCAUUAUCGACUCCAUCAGUUAAAGUGAUGAAACUCAGAUUGACCUUCCGAACAAAGCAGCCAACCAUACCUCUAGAUUUUGGAGAAACUCAGCUAUGUCAGUUGAACAUAGCGGGCAAUUCAUGAGAUUCUUCCGUGGUCGCAGUGUUCUUCUACCUUGGCAGGUCCUCUCUUUUAUAUGACUCAUACCAGCAAAGGCACCUUCCAAGCAAGCUUUGCAGAAGUUAUGAGCACAUGGUGUCGUAACUGGGGAAGUCAAAACCUUUUUACAUAUAUGGCAGCCAAACUCUGCAUUUUUGUUCCGUACACAUCAAUAGACAUAAUGCAUGAUAGCAAAACAAGACAUCACAAACAUAAUGCGCUCAGAAAUUUAUAUACCAGUCCGAAUCUCUUCUUCCAUGUUCUGUCUCCGGCAAUAAACUCUCUUCACUCUCACUUUCUUCCCGUCCUCUAUAACCCCGCUAUCCUUAACUCGUUGCUUGCUAGGUGGUGGAGGCUUUUUCCACAUCCAGCACUCCUUCUCCUCCUGAGACACAGAAAUAACAUAUUCAGCCACAUUUAUGAAAGGCAAAGCUAUAUCCUAUUGAAGUAGCAUAAAAACAAUCUUACAUCGUAGUCCCAUGACGGAGAUCCUUCUCUUUCUGUUAUAUCAGUUGCAUCUUUCAACUCCUUGAUAGCUGGUAGAGGCCUCGGACGGUCCCCAAGAACAUCACUACAGAAUGAGUUUCCAAGGGUUAAUUAGUUGUGCACACAGAAACAGCAAGAUUAAUUUGAACGGCAGAUGUUGAGAAUUCAUUAUAACAUACCAUGUCCAAGGGGCAGGCUCAUUUUCACACCUCACGAAAAGAUAUCUGCAUACCUUGAAACCCUGCCAGAACAAAACUCUGUCACUAAACAUAUUGAGAGCCUAAGCCUAAAUUUUGUAAAUUAUUUGAUUGAAUCAUGAGUGAUAGUUCACCUGGGCUCCCUUCUUCAGCCAACAUUUCUCAAUUCUGUAGAUCCCAUCGUAUCGCAAUCCUUUUUCUCUAGGCGCAUAUGAUGACCUCUCGUCCUUGUGGGUUCUGCCCAAAAAGAAUAACCAAAAUAAUUGAGAAAAUGCUACCUAUAGAACUAUUACAGCGACACUGUAAUCUAUAAUUCUAUAUCUGAGUCCAUGCUUAGCUUUCAUCAGCAGAAAAAGUAUAUACAUGUAUCGCAUAUGCCGCAUAUAUAACAGAACUCACCUGACUACUCGCACGGGAUAACCCAUCCGGCAACUUAUCCUCAGCGACUCAUUCCUGUAAACAAACUUCUGGUCACUACUGUGCUCUUUAUUCGUCCGCUUAUUUCCUCCUAAAUCUUUUCCACCGCUGUACACUCAGCCAAAGAAUGAAAUGAAACAAACAAGACCAGUACGUACAAGAAAACAGACCAUGCAUUAGCACAUAGAAAAGGUUCUCAUCAUCCAAUACCAUCCGGUGUAAAUGAACCACUCCCCGUGAUCCUCAUCGUCUUCGUAACCGCCGGACAGCACAAUAGACUGAGCGCCAUGAUUACUCUGCCCGCAAAUCCCAGCAACGGGGGCCCGAUGAACGCCCCAUUGCACGCAUUCCAGUCGAUUCUCCCAUGUCCUCCCCACCAGUACACCCUCAUUCCUCUCCGGGUCAUGCUCGGCCGUUAUGGGCCCGAAAUGGUCCUUAGGAACCGUUACGAAGACUCUUCCGGCCGAGGCAUUGGCAUUUCCAGCCUUCUUAGCCCUCUCGGUUCUGAAAGCUCGGUCCGGACGGUCCUGGUUGUGAAGGUAAUGGACCACGCGGCUUUGGCUGUCCCCUGCGACCUGGGUUCUGUCUACUAUCGCCCUACGUAUCGCCCUCACCAGAAUCUCGUUGAUUUUCAGAUGCUCUGUAAUCGUUCCGCGGCAAUUUGCACAUUGUAGUUUUCCUCCUUUUCGUUUGCAUUCUGCAACGUGUUUGUUGUAGCAUUUCAGGCAGAAAUUAUGGCCGCAUGGUGUCUGUAAAACCAAUUAUCCCCAAUACGUUAUAUCAUAUUCAAUUCGGUCAACCGCUAAUUUCCACUUCACAAUUGAAAUAAUAAUAAUAAUAAUAAUAAUAAUCCUUCCAAAAUAAUAAUAAUAAUAAUAAUAAUAAUGACAAAUUUGUGCGACAAAAGAAAGAAAAAUGUAUUUCCUAUUGAAUACCCACGUCAACAGAUUUGGUAAAAUAUUUUUAGAUUUUACAAUUUCAUUCUUGACUAUCUUGUGAAAGGAGAUUCGGACUCUUGACUCGAUCUAAAAUAUUACUUUGAUUUCUAACUAGUUUCAUCUUGAGUUAAUAACAUGAUCUGACAUGUUAUCUUUAAUUUCGGUCAAGAAAUGUAGAAGAAUGAAGAUAUAUAACAUUUCAACAACUUCGUUAUCAAAUGUUAUGUAAGAGGCUAACCGAAAUCCAUAUUUAAUAUGAUUGAAUUUCUCAUCGAUUUCAUCAAUUGAGUUAACAACCGACAAUUUAUUUCAGAUAAGGCUAGGGGAUCUGGUUUGAACAUCUUCAUUCUCGAGUGUUUUUUAACAGAAAAAUUGAACUUCUCAGUCCAAUAUAUGAUGUUCAUUCAAUUUCUAACCAGUUUCGUCACUUGAAUUAACCACCUACAAAUUAUUUUAGGUAUUGGUGAGGGGAUUCGGUACAAGAAAAUUUAUUUGUACACCUUCAUUCUCGAGUGUUCUUUAAAAGAAGAAUCGAAUUCCGGAUCUAAUUUAAUGUUAAUUCAAUUUCUAACCGGUUUCAUUACUCGAAUCAACCACCAAACAUUUUACUUUAGAAUUAGGUCAUUUAUAAAUGAAUCGAUGGGAUCAUGAAAAUCUAUAACAAAUUCGAUUAAUCAUAAAGCACAAAUUAAGCCAAGAAUUAUCCAAACCAAAAAUAUAGUUGAAUUAGAGAAGACAUGUAGAAUUGUGUAGAGGGUGGUGUACUAACCGUAACAGGUCUCUCAGGAAUUCCCAUGCAGAUGGUGCAGCGAAACCUCCGCUUCAGUGCGUCGUCAUUACCACCGUUCAUCUUCGUCUCGUCAUCGGACGGCACCGACGCUGUUUUGGACAGCAGCGCCUGUCGUUUCCUCGCCUUCUCGCUCUCCGUCAAUGACUCGUCCGCCUCUAAAGCUUUAAUCGCCGCAACCAGACCUCCGUCUCCUCCGAUGUCACCGACAGAAUUCACGUGACCAGACGACUCCUCAGCCGGAGCAGCACAGUCCGGACACUCCCAGUCCAGAGCCUCGGCCACAGUGUGGGGCUGGAAGGGGAGGCAGGACACGUGCCAGGGGGAGGUGCACGUCUUGCAGUGGAGAAUCUCCUCCGGCGACGGCGUCUGCUUGCACAUCAUGCAAAUGCCGUCGUUGCAGGGAAGAACGGGGACGGUGCCGCCGGCGUCAGCCAUGUGAGGGAGGAGGAGGAGGUCGUGGAUUUCGUGAGUUUGUGGGGCCAGCACGAAAAUUGAGAGCAACAGAAGACUUGCUCUGUGUCUGUGAAAGUGAUGGUGAAGAUGUCAAAGGUGUGAGUGGCCUUUUAUAGCGAAGGCAAGGUUUGAAAAUGUUCGAGUUGUGUGGUUUGGAUCGAUUUGAGUUUUGGGAGUAUUUGCAUCUGCCUGGGUUUUGAGUCGGGCGAUAUAUAUUAGGAAAAAUAUCCAGGAAAAUGUUCAAAGGUCACGCUCCAAAAUUAUAAUGCAUGACCAAAAUGAGAUGGCUACGAAGAUGUUGUGAUAUUUUACCAAAACGGGAAGGAUGCAGAUGAGGAGAAUGUGGUAGUUACCAACAUGUUGUUUUUGGUAUUUCAGCAGAAAUCACGGGUGAUUUUAGAGUUUAUCGGUGUUUAACUUUCGAAUUUUAGUGUUAUAUUGAAUGAACCGUGAAAUUAGGCUCGCAUAAUAGAUGCUCAGUAAUUUCGUUUGUUGUAUUGUUCAUUUAAGCCGUACAGUUAGAUACGUCGACAUUUUUUGUUUGUAUAUUUGUUUCUUCCCUUACACAACGGAAUUAUCUACAUUAAUUGGAUAAGCUGUUAUUUCACCGGUUUGUUUCUUCUUUUGCACCUUACUACGCGCUGACAUUUUGUUUUAUAUUUGCUUCUUCUUGUUUAGUGUAAUCAUCUAAGUAAAUUAGAUGCGCCGUAACUGUGUUUUGUUUGUCAUUUCCUAGUUUGAAAAUAAGAACUUUUUUGGUAGCGCCACAAUUUGGUUAGUUUGUUGAUUUCGAUCAAAUAGUCAAUGCAAUACACCAUUAUGGCAAGAAAACAAUAACCGUAAAGACGUAAGAUUUCCACGAGCUUAAUAGGGACUCUAUGACAAUUGUAAUAUUAUGUAAGGGCAUGGCAUUUGGGAUCGAUGUAACGGCUGGGUAGCCGUUGUUUCUUACAGGCCGGAUCAGGUUUAGGUUUACAAGGAAAAACUUUAAAAUCAUUACUUUUAAGUGAAUUCGAUACCAAUGUCAUAUGAUUUAGUUAAUUUCAACCCGCUUUGGAUAGGAUCUGUAUAUACAUAUACACGCACACAUAUAUAUAAUAUUUGAGUACUAGUUAGAAUUUGACUAGGUGUUUUAAUAACAUUCACUCAUGUAAAUUUAGUCAUAAUUAGAUUUUCUUAUUUAUUUGAAUAAAUAGUCAACCUUUGUAUUGAUCAGACAUAGAGUACACAUAACGAUUUAGUCCAGCGAGCGAGGAUGAUAAAAAAAACAAUUACCUAAGUACAAACAUCAUUUACAACUAUUAAGCCCAUCGAGAAAAUCCAUCGCAAUUCCCAUGAAAAUUCAGAGGCGCAAGACCACCAUCAUGAUAGAGUAAAAAGCAAAGUAAAAAUAAAAAUCGAAACCCUCUUUGUGAGUGACAACCAUGCCUAAGAAAAGGCUUAGCCCACCGGAAGCUUAGCUUAAGGAUUCCAGUCAUGUUUAGAUAUAUGAUAAUUUUUUUUAAGGAGGGCGUCAAUCCAUUGAUAUAGUAAAAAUUACAUAGAGAUAGCUCACCCAAAUGACCAUGACAAAAUUGAAUUACCCGUAGGGAGCCCUAAUCGGCCUAAAGCCAAGAUCUAACAAUACAGAGGCAACCUAACAUGUAAUUAAUACGAAAUUAAAUCAAAGAAACCCGAGGGCGAUUUCCUAACGCUAGGAUGACAAAGAAGGAACCGGAAUGAAACCAAACACUUUCCCAACUGAUUCAACCAACCAUUAGCUUCUACUCGGAUGCGCUCCCUUAGGAGUACAUCGGACAACUAGUACAAAAGAUGUGAUGCAUCCAUCUGUAGCCAUGAAGAUUCCCGAAACCUGAUCCUCAUAAAUCGGCCCAAUCGAUUUGGACUUAUUCUUUCUUACAGGAGGACGACCUUUCGCACCUUCGCAGCACUGACGUGCUCCCCUGACUCACCAAUCUCUGGCAAACUCACUUUCUUCCUUUUUCUAGCCUAAUUCCGAGCAUUCGGGAGCCAUUUGCGCACCCCCAAAACUAGCUACCCAUCAAAAUUAGGAACACCUAGCCCAACAACUUCUUUAGACCCAACAAGGCCCAUUCCACCUGCACUAUACCCAGCCUAAUCAACCUUGGAUCUUUUAACCCGACUUUCAAACCGCUAGAGUUUCUCGCCGAAAAUAGCAGAACCCUAACCAUACCACUGUUUUCGCACCUUCGCAGUGGUGAUUUGCUUCACCCCUGACUCUCUAAUCUCUGGCAAGCUCACUUUCUUCCUAUUCUAGCCUCAUUCCGAGCAUUUGAUCGCCAUUUGCGCACCCCCAAACUAACUGCCGCUCAAAAUUAGAAACACCCAACCUAACAACUUCUUUAAGCCCAACAAGGCCUAGUCCACCUCCACUCAAACACAGGCCAGUCAACCUUGGCUCUAACAACCCGACUUUCAAACCGCUAGAGUUUCCCGUAGAAAAUAGCGGAACCCUAACCACAUCACUGGAUGCCGCACUUUGUUUUGCCCCGACCUCUAGCAUAUUACCCACCGCCUCCGGUAGCUGCUCUAGAGACCAAGUAACCUCACGAGCCGUUGUUCCAACCGCCGCCUUCAACAACAAGGCUGACGUACCCGAGCGACCCUGAUCCGACAGCAAACAUCAACGCCACCUUUGGCUCAAUCUUCGCUGUCUCCGGCAUCACCAUCAGAGCUUUGUCACACCUGUCGCCGCCGUGGUUGAAGAAACGACAUGCCUUGCACAGCCGCAAACACUUCUCGAAUUCGAGUUCGAGAUCCACAGUCAAAUCCAGCGAGAACAAGAAAGUUCUUCGCCUCAAAGCCCACCGUUUCACGUCGUGAACCAGUCGGAUCCAUGGUACAUGAGCUUUCUGUCGCACCGCUGCCUUGUCAAGCCGGAUGUAGGAACCCAAUAUAUCGCCGAUCCAGUUCAACACGUUCGCAUUGGGCAUGGCAAUUCAAAGUCCUCUCAUAGAAACCCAGACCUCUCGAGAAUCCAACAUCAUCCUCCGCACAUCGUCAACGCCAUUUUAAUCAGCCAAAAGCAGCGAUGAGUUGUUGAAAAACCACGGGCCACCAUGAAGGAUCUAGUGUUUCUCAUCCUGCUUCGCGUAUCAGAACACAAGAAUCCCACCCUUCCUUUCAAACACCAGAUCGUAGCCAUGGUCGUCGACAACAUCGACGCCGAUACUGCUUUCCUCGACAAAAGAUAAAGAUGACCACACUUAGAAGUUAACUCAUUAUAUUCUUUUUAUGGUUUAAAGUAUAUAUUUAAUUUCAUUUCACUGUAUACCUAUUGGGUCAAGCCUAUAAUGGGCCUUUAUGUGGGCCGAGUGAGGCUUGCGGGUCUCUGUCAGCUCUCUGUAGGCUCGUGAAAUAAUUCGCUAUAAAGUUAUUUGUUGAUUCUUUCCUUUACCUCCACCCAAUUUUUUUUUUCCUUUUCUGUUAAUAAGAAAAUAUCAAAAUGGAUAGAUGGAAAGUGGUAUACAAAGGGAAGUUUAAGUACCUGGAAAAAUACGAAAAAAUGGAAACUAGUUUUACACAAACAGAAAAAUAAUCAAGCAUCACCAAAAAAAAUAAUAAUAAUCGAAAACAAAUCGACAUAACUUUAUACGUCUACAAACUAUAAACCUGAUAUGCUCGACAUUAGUUUAACAUUAAUCUAUAAGUAUAAUCAGUUUUAUCUUUCCAAAUGUAGUUUAAAAGUUUGUUUUUUCUUAUUCGUAAUCGUUUUGUUGGUAUUGUUUUUGUUACGUUCUCGGAUUAUCUUUAAGUGCCAAAUGAAAUUCGUAGUUAAUUUGAGUGAACUAAUUCAACUUCAGACAAUCAGAUCAUAUUGCAAAUGAAAAUAAGAUUGCAAUUCAGGUGAUGACAUGAUCAUAUUUGAUUGAAGUGACGAAUACAGUUGAAGUUGACAAUGUAAAUGGAUUAUAAGAUCAACAACGAGAUUGCUUAACCUAGUUUGAUUUCAAUAUGAUUACAAUCGUUUUGUUUUCAUGUACGUGUACUGGUUUUCGUCGUUGUGUUGUUGUUUAUAUAUUCUCAGGUUAGAGGUUCUAGAUUUGUUAACAUAAGCAUAUUUUAGUUUCAGAUUGUACGUAUUGGAAAUUGAUAAGAAACAUACAAUGAAAUCAAAUAAAUUCAAAUCGAACAAAGCCAAAAUAAAAGUUGCAAACCUUAAUAUAUGAUGGAGUUGAUCUCGAAUGGUAAAAUCGCAACGAGGCCUCGGUCCGCUACCUAGAAAUGACUCGAAUGCCACAAGAGAGGACGGCGAACGAUUUCAGAUACAAAAUCAAACAACACGAUCGUAUAAUACCCUAAGUAAGGGUAAAAUAGGAAACUAGGAAAAGAGCCAAGACUAAUUGUACAAAGGCCGAGAGCUCAGACCCAAUUUUAUCCUCUCAUACGAUUACAACAAAGUGAAGAUAUAUAGGUUACAUGUAUCCUUAAUUUCAAUACACGAGACUUGUUUCCUUAUUACGUUAUACAUGGAUCGCACGUAUGACUUGACGUAAUCAUAAAUUAUUCUCACCCCUCCGCACCGCUUGGGUUAACCUGAGACUUGCACUCAUAGUUUUCUCUAGAGCUACAACUCCACACAUCGUAUAACUUUGUCUCAUCAUAAGGAAAAUUACUAAAUUCGACAAUCACAUUUUAAAUCAACUAUUAAAAUUAAAACGUGAGAAUGAUGAACUGUGUAAAAUCAUCUAAUUCAAAAGAUAGUAAACACCCAAUACCAUUUAAUCUAGCGGUAUAGUCUCUCCUUAGUAAGUGAGAGACUGAGAGGUUGUGAGUUUAACUCACGUAAUUGUAAUAUUUAAGCUGUUUACCUGAUAAAAUAAAAAAAUUAUCUCUCGUAAUAGUAAAAAAAAAUAUUUAUUAACACAUCCCUAAAUGCUAGAUACACAUAUUUUUUUUAUACAAAUUAUAUAAGACUUUGUGGGUACGUAAAAUCACCAAAAGAGACAUUCAUAUCAAAAGUACAGAAAACUUAGUUGAAAUAAAAUAUCUCGCUUAAGAGUUUUCUUCUUCUAUACGAGAACAACGUAUGUGAAGAUACCAAACCCUAUAAUUUAAACCUCUAUAAAUUAAUAACGUUGGGACUUGAAAAAAAUAUUAUUUAAUCGGGAUUGUUAAUUUAUUGACGACAAUUUUACUAAUUCUUUAUUUCAGGACUGACAAAAAAUAUUAUAUAAUCAAGGUUAUUAAUUUAUCAAGGUUUUACUAUCGAUAGUACAAAUUGAAGUUUGAAAUUUAGAUUCUACUAUUCAUGCAUGCUAGGUCGUUCAAACUGACACCAAACUAAAACUUGGGAUGAUGCUAUAUAUAUAAUUCUCUCUUUUUUCUUUUUCUUUUUUUGAAUAAAUUGAGUAACAGAUCUAAAAAAGUAUGUGUAUUUAAUAAAUGGAUUGUGUAUUUAGUGAGGGUAUUGUAGAAAGGUUGGGUAUGUGUAUCUAAUAGAAUGUUAAAAUAAUAAAGUCAAUAGGUGAUGUAUUAAAAAUAAGACGUGUAUCUAAUAAUUAGAGAUGUGUUAAUAAAAUUUAUCUAAUAAAAAAUAAAAAAAAUAAAAAAUCGCUCGUCGGCACGAAUUAUGCGCCACGCACCUGACUGAGUGGACUCUGAUUAGUGGUGGGUCGAUACCGCGUUUGUCCAAAACGAUGUCGUUUGUACCGUACGGUAAAGAUCCUCAAUCCUCAAACGACGACGUUUGUGGGUUUAACACCCUCUUUGAAACCCUACAACACAAGUCAUUCUCGCUAUCCUCCACUCUUCGCAUGCGCAUCCUCAAUUUCCUAACCUCAUCGAUUCCACUUGGCCACGCUCUCUUCACUCGCCUCACUCCUUCCUCGCCGUCCCUCUCUCUCCUCCGCCGCUUCACAUCAACCAUGGCCGCCGAGGAUAAUCUCCGCCAAGCCCUCUCCGCUAAGCUCUCGGAGGUCGAGAGCCAGGGCAACCAGGUCCGCGCUCUCAAGCAAUCCGGCGCCGCCAAGCCCGAGCUCGACGCCGCCAUUGAGGCCUUGAACGCGCUCAAGCUCGAGAAGGCGACGAUCGAGAAGGACCUCCAGGCAACCAUCAGCGGCGGCGACGGCGGUGGCUCCUUGAACAAGGAGGCGUUACGUCAGGCUGUGGUGAACACUCUGGAGCGCCGUUUGUUUUAUAUUCCGUCUUUUAAGAUCUACGGCGGCGUUGCGGGUCUGUAUGACUACGGUCCUCCUGGCUGCGCCGUCAAGUCCAAUGUCCUAGGGUUUUGGCGUCAGGUACUGUUCUUCUCUGAAAUCCUGCUUGCAAAUUUGUGAUUAGUAGCUGUCACUUGAAUUGUUGUGAACUGAAUUGGCUUUUGAUGGAGCUCUACCCUUGCAAUUCAAGCUCUUCAUCGAAGUCAUUAUAUUGCUAAUACUUGAUUUGAGCAUUCGAAUGAAGAAUGAGUUCAUGUUUUACAAUGGAUUGAGGAAAAGCAAAUUUUUAUUACUUUGAUAAGAGUCUUUCAUUACUAAAUGCUAGUCUUUCGUUACUAGAUGCUAGUGGUUACUUGUUUGGUGAAUUCUAAUCAUGUUGCCUUUUGUGAUGAUUCUGUCGUGCUACUUUGAUAUGGAUUCCUGUAUUUGGUUCUGGUCAUGCUUUUGAGAAGAUAUUUGUUGCUUUGUGUGAUGAAAUUGAAACAAUUAAACUACAAAGAGAACUAGAUAGAGAUCAGAUGCAUUUUCUUUCCUCCAAAUCUCAUGUCUUAGUUUGCUCGUAACUUGGUUUUUGCUCCUACCUGUAUUUGUUAUCUUGAUGUCAUUGUGAAAUUUACCCUCACUGGCAAUUGAAACUUAUGAAUAGCAUGUUGAUUCAUUUUGCAGCAUUUUGUACUUGAAGAGAACAUGCUGGAAGUUGACUGCCCGUGUGUCACACCUGAGGUCGUGUUGAAAGCAUCUGGUCACGUAGACAAAUUCACCGAUCUUAUGGUCAAGGAUGAGGAAUCUGGGACUUGCUACAGAGCUGAUCACCUUCUCAAGGAUUACUGUAAAGAUAAGCUUGAAAAGGACCUCAGAAUUACCUCAGAGAUGGCAAUGGAGUUGAAGGAAGUACUUUCAAAAUUAGAUGUCCUCUCUGCUGAAGAGCUGGGUCAAUGUAUUAAGAAAUAUGGUAUUACAGCCCCUGACACAAAGAAUCCUCUCUCGGAUCCUUAUCCGUUCAACCUGAUGUUUCAAACAUCAAUUGGUCCUUCUGGUGUGAGCACUGGGUGAGUAUUUAAUAACUCAUGAAUUAUAUUAUUCUUCCUCUAUUUAUGUAAUUAGUUCCCUACAUGAUGUAUGAAAGCUUCCCUUUUCCAUUAAUUAUAGUUUCUUAUAAUGUAUAUGAUGUUGCAGGUAUAUGCGUCCGGAAACUGCUCAAGGGAUUUUUGUGAAUUUCAGGGACUUGUACUAUUACAAUGGGAACAAGCUCCCUUUUGCUGCAGCCCAAAUUGGGCAGGCUUUCAGAAAUGAGGUCAUACUUUUUUUCUUUUGAUUUUGUGAUACUGCUUUCCUUGUGGGCAGAUAUUUGUUUAUAUAUAAAAAUGGUUUGUAAUUUGCGGAUUCUCCUACUAGCCAGUAGUUCUAUGUUUGUUCUUGUUGCUCAGAUUCUGCUUUUUGUGGACUCAUAUUUUAUUCCUGAUGCAGAUAUCACCUCGCCAAGGUCUUUUGAGAGUCCGUGAGUUUACUCUGGCAGAGAUUGAGCACUUCGUUGACCCCGAAGACAAGUCUCACCCAAAAUUCUCUGAUGUUGCACAUUUGGAGUUUCUGAUGUUCCCAAGGGACGAACAGAAGCCUGGCCAGUCUGCAAGGGUAAUAUCCCUACGUGAAGCCGUUUCUUCUAAGGUUGGUUUUUCUCUCAUUUUACCUUACCUUGGUUUUGGUCUUCUCGCUGUUUUAUUGACAUUGUUGUUUUUUUAAUGUCUUGUAGGAUUCAAAAGUUGUCGACAACGAAACCCUUGGCUACUUUAUUGGGAGAGUAUACCUCUUCCUCACUAGUCUGGGUAUUGACAAGAACCGGUUAAGGUUCCGGCAGCACCUGGCAAAUGAAAUGGCUCAUUAUGCCCAGGACUGUUGGGAUGCUGAGAUUGAGACGUCAUACGGCUGGAUUGAGUGCGUUGGCAUUGCAGAUAGAUCUGCAUACGACUUGAAGGCUCAUUCGGUAAGGACGUGUUAACUAUUGUUAAUGGAUUUUAACAACUAAAGUAUAUGUUUGCAAUAAAAAAGUUAAACAUGCAGUGCUCUUAGGAUUGAAAAUCAUGAAAGCAAUUGUUAUUGUUUUUGUUUAUUUAAUACUUGUCUGGUUCAGUGGUUUUUUGAAUUUGUAACUCUAAUUUCACUUUUUAGAAUAAAUUCAUAUACCCUCAAAAUAGAAGAUUACAUUUACAGCAUAAACUGUUCCUUUGAGGGUUGAUGUGAUAUGUAUAUGCUUAUUGUUUUUUGUUCUUUGUUUCAUGGCAGGAGAAAAGUAGAGUUGAUCUUGAGGCACAGGAAAAGUAUUCUGAACCAAGAGAAGUUGAGGUAACUGCUAUUUCAUCAUGUGAACCGCACUGUGUUUAGUAAACAAACUUUUUCAUUAAUGAUUUGUUUUUAUAAUUUCAGAAAUUGGUUAUUUCUCCUGUGAAGAAAGCGAUCGGUCUUGCUUUCAAGGGGGACCAAAAGAAAGUACUUGAAGCUUUGGAGGUGAAUUCACACUACUGAUUUGUCAUUUCAUGACUUGAUUGAAUGUGAGGUUUUGUGUUUAUGCAAUUAUUGCCUCGUGCAUUUCAGGCCAUGAAAGAAGAAGAAGCUUUGAAAAUGAAAACAGAUUUAGCAUCAAAAGGGGAGGUGGAGUUUUAUGUAUGCACUCUGGGGAAAACCGUUACUGUUAAUUCAAGUAUGGUAACAAUCUCAAAAGAGAAAAAGAAAGAACACCAGAGAGUUUUCACGCCCUCGGUAAUUGAACCAUCUUUUGGUAUUGGUCGGAUAAUCUACUGCCUCUAUGAGCACUCAUACUACAUGAGGCCAAGUAAAGAUGGGAAUGAACAGUUUAACGUGUUCCGGUUCCCCCCUCUUGUGGCACCCAUCAAGUGUACAGUUUUCCCGUUGGUUCAGAAGCAAGAGUACGAGGAAGUUUCGAAAGUCAUUUCAAAGUCAUUGACCGCAUCUGGGAUAUCACAUAAAAUUGAUAUUACAGGUAUGUGAAAUUAAGCCAUCUUAUGCUCGUAGUAGGAGUUAAUGGGAUACUGACCUUAAUUGGUUAUGAGUUUGUCAAUUGUUUGAUUUUGGAUUUUCCUCAGGUACCUCCAUUGGGAAGCGAUACGCCCGAACUGAUGAACUUGGUGUACCAUUUGCUAUUACCGUUGAUUCCACUUCUUCCGUAACAAUCCGCGAAAGAGAUAGCAAGGACCAAAUCCGGGUUGAUGUCAGUGAAGCAGCAUCUGUUGUCAAGGAUAUAGCCGAGGGGGUGAGGACAUGGGCAGAUGUGUGGUCGACUUUCCCACACCAUUCUUCUGGUUCAGCAGACGAGUAGAUUUUGGGUUAAUAAAAAACCAUCAUAAUCAACAUAAGCUGUAGCUUUUCCUUUAUUGAGUCUGGAAUUUUGUUACAGUACAAAGCAUACUUGAUACAUACUGGUUCUUAAAUUUGUGCGCCAGUGUCUAUUGUCAUUUUGUUUUACUUUUACCAUUGCUUUACAAAGUUGUGCAACAACGAAGCAUUCCUCUUGAGAAUCUGCCAGACUUGGGCGAUCUAUGCAGCAAAUCAAGUUAUCUUAGGUAAUGAGGUUAUGUUAGGCAGUCCAGCCAGUUUUAUUACACGAUAUGUAAGGUUCAUGUUUCAUGCGACUCCCGGACCUCGGUUCGUACACUUGUGGUGGUCGGAGUUUAACAUGGCGUGUUAAGUACAACUCACCCUGAGAAAAAGAAAAUGAAAAUGAAAAUGAAAAUGAAAAAAAUAAAAUAAAAGCUCACCUCACUCUAUUAUUUGGGUAAUUACCCGUAAAAUUUUGCUGAGAGGUAAUAAAACGCUGUCGUAUCAUAGGAACGAGCUUUCCCCUUAAAUGCUGGAGUCGGACUUUGCGAACAAAUAGAAGAGCUUUUUCGGGUGUGCGCGAGGACUAAAACGAUUAGAAGAACGAGAUGCUGAGAGUCGCCGGAAAAAGGCUUUCAUCCUCUGUGGGCGGCGCGUGGAGGUCGUCGCAGGCAGCCCCAGCUUUCCUCUCUCGAUCUCAUCAUCCACUUUCCUUCAACAACGACAAGUCCUCCUCCUCCGAUAUCCCUUCCAGAUCCCCCAUUCACUCUCUCCUCAAUUCCCAAUCCCCAUUUCUCAUCAGAGGUCAGCCCCCCUAGGGUUUGCUUACAUGUAUUAUAUUUGUUCUCGAUUCUGGAUCCAUUUGUUUUCAGUUUGGUAUUGGCUUUGAUUUGUAACCCUAGCUCCAAUUUUCUAUUGCUAAAUAUAAAUCACCAGGGUAUGCUUGAAAUUUGGCUUCAAAUGUCUCUUUAGGUUUAUUAGCUUCAAUGAUGCUUACAAUUGAAAAGAAAGGACUGAAGUCGUUUCUUUGUAAUUAAGCUUUUGUUUGUUUUUAUCUAUUGCCUCGAAUAUGCAAUCAAUCUUAUUAUGUGUCAGUUGUGGUUAAUUUCACUAGCUCAGUCGAUACGACAAGCGCCAGGUGCUAUGGUGCAUUGCAUUGUGUUAAAUGUUAGCUGUUGUUUGGAACAAAUAAUGACAGUCGCUUUGUCUGCGGUCUGUUGAUUAUUUGUUUGUAUUCGGUCUUCUAAAACUUUGUUUUUGUGGCUAGGUGGGUUAGAACUUUAGUAAGGUUUUGUUAUCUUCCUUCGAGCGUAGAAAUGCCUUUGCCAAAUACGCCUGUCUUGUUAGCAGUGGAAUCAAACAAUGUUAUGUCUCUCUUCGGUUUAUAAUUGAAAAGUAUGUGCAUGGAGUUGGUAGCUUAUGGAACUUUGAUUUCUCUCUACAGGAUUUUCCUCUGACGCCCUUGCUCCUGGUCAUGAUGUUGGUAGUAUGAUCUCAGACGUCCCGGCUACUGUGGCAGCAGUGAAGAAUCCUUCUUCAAAGAUUGUAUAUGAUGAGUACAACCAUGAGAGAUACCCACCUGGUGAUCCCAGCAAGCGUGCAUUUGCUUAUUUUGUCUUGACCGGUGGAAGGUUUGUGUAUGCGUCCUUGAUCCGACUUCUGGUCCUGAAAUUUGUUCUGAGCAUGUCUGCCAGCAAAGAUGUCCUUGCUCUUGCUUCCCUUGAGGUUGACGUAUCCAGCAUUGAGCCUGGCACUACUGUUACUGUCAAGUGGAGGGGGAAGCCAGUUUUUAUUAGGCGUAGAACUGAAGACGACAUCAAGUUGGCUAAUAGUAUUGAUGUUCAGUCUCUUCGUGAUCCUCAACAGGACGCAGAGAGGGUUAAGGAUCCAGAAUGGCUGAUUGUUGUUGGGGUCUGCACUCACUUAGGGUGCAUCCCCUUGCCAAAUGCUGGUGACUUUGGCGGAUGGUUUUGUCCAUGCCAUGGUUCGCACUAUGAUAUUUCUGGUAGGAUCCGUAAGGGGCCUGCACCCUACAAUCUUGAGGUACCUACUUACAGUUUUUUGACAGAGAACAAGUUGCUCAUUGGCUGAGAGUUGCUGGGCAGUGUUUCUGAAAUUUACAUGAGGUCUCAUUAUUCAUAGUUCCUUUACAUCAGGGAAAAAGUGAUGUUUGCAACCUUAAAUUGUUCUUUUUGUCUAUUUCAGUUAUGAUUUAUACUUGAAUUUUGUACCUCGUCUGUACUGGAUUGAGUUCAGAUGUUCGAAUAACAAAAACAAAUUUUUGUUGACCAUGUUUGGUGUUUAUGGUAUCUAGUCAUUCAAUUGAGUUAGUUUCAUAUACUGUUUGCUUUUCAUCAGAGAUUGUUGAUUUGCUUGUAGAUCGACUGGUUUGGGGUUUCCUUAAGCCUUACUGUAGGUCAUGUUAAUAUUGGCUUUUGAUAGAGGAAAAAUCUUUAGCUUUUUGCAUGUAAGGACCAAAGUAAUGUUCUUUAAUACGCAUAGCCUGUAUACAAAGGCAUAGGAACAGACUUCUUUCCCAACUGAGAUAUGUAAGGCCCUGGAGUCUUAGAAUACAUAAAACUAUGCAAGCUGAUUUUCAUUUUAAUUUGAAUUUGCUCUUCAGCACAUUCUGUGGAGAAGGUCAAUACUGAAAGCAACAAAAUGUCUUUGGAUGCUUGUCACCGGUUAAGCAACUUGCAAAUUUGUAAGCAAGCGGCAAAAAUGUCUUCAACAUUUGAAUUGAAUUGAUAAACAAUCCCGGUCACUUAAAGAAAAGCUGUUGAUAAUUGACCCUCGCUACCUGAUGGAAUAUGUGUACUCAAAUUAGACUGAAACGCAAAUUCCUCUUGCAAGAGUUUUAACAUCUGCAUCAGCUUGGAUCAUAUUCAAAGCCUAAUAAUAGAGAGACAUUCAAGAAGUUUUAUCGGAAAAUAUUGUGUAAAAACAAGAGGGCAUAAGCCUUGAUCCGUAGCAAUAAAUCAUCAUGGUAAUACAAUAUAUGACCCUUUCACGUGGCAGAUAUCCAAAGGGUUAAGAAUGAGGAAUCUGUUAUCAGGUAGAGGAUACUAGUAAUGGAACAUAAACUAGAAAAUGGAACUUCUACUUUGUUUCUGAAUGAAGAAGUCCUGCAUAGGAACUAAUGAGAGUUUGCUUCUAUAUGUAUUCGUCUUUCAUCAAUAUCACUGCACGAGAUGUAAAGGUAUUCCGUUAGCAAUCUUGGAUUGGAACUAAUGGCAAUUUUCCGCCGUAUGCAUCAGGCAGCUGGCUCUCAUCAAUAUCACCAAGUAAUGUGGAGUUCAGCUUUUUGUUCUCGACAAAAAUGAUCUGCAAGGAUAUAUGGUAAAAGACCUGAUGAGUUGAACUAAGCUGAAAGACGAUAGUAACAAUUACCAUGUAUAUAUAAUUCUAUGUACUUCUUUUGUUCAUUCUAGAUUAACUCAUAUAACUAAUAACAAAAUGUUUCAAGUCAUGCCAUAGUCACUAUAUCAUGAUAUAUCUUUCCUCCCACUAUCCCUACUUACAUCAACCUUAUUUCCAGACCAUCUUCACACAUUCAAAUCUUGGCCAUCCCUUAACUGCUUUAGCUGAAGAGAGAUUUACCUCCUGUUUUCCUGGCCUAAAUGUAUGAUGGCUCUCUUUUUAACUUAUUUAAAUCUUAGCAGUCAGUAUCCUAUCAAUCUGAAGAGUUUUCCCCAGUUGUAUAGGUUGGGAAUUGUGCAGUGUCUCCAUUCAAUUUCAAUAUGGCAGCAAAUAUGCGAAUGGGAAUGAUCAUGUAGUUCCUAAUACAAAGUACUUCACCUUUUUUUGGUUUUGUCAUCGAUAAACGGGUAAACCAUCUUCCAAGCAGUCAUGAAUAGGUAAGGUGCAUGGACGAUGAAUAACUUGCCAAGCCUCUCCGGAUAGCAAUCCUGUCCAAUUUACCAAUAUCCGUUAUUUUCUUAUCUGUGAGAUUAAAUGUUCAUAUAUUACCUAACCAAUUAAUGAAAUCAUCUGGCAUCUUAUUUGAUGAAAGGGAGCAAGCAACAUCGAACCUGUAAGAUCGUUAGAGCAGCUAAGUAUCCACGAACGUCACUAUUGACAUAGCCCCAUCCUUCGAGAUCUGCAAUGGAUAAAAACUUUUCCUGCCCUGCUGGCAUUCUGAAAGAUAAAUGCAACAUGGUGAAUAUCAUGGAGCUGUCACCUGGGAGAUAAACUGGAUAAAGAUUCGAACCUAAUCUCAGCCAUAUUAACUUCAGCACACAAUUUCUUGAAUAAUUCUAAAACAUCAGUAACCCCUUUCCUUUUUUUCUUUUGGUGGUUACCUCUUCACAUAUCUGAUUGACCUGACUGAACUACAAAUAAUGAUGUGUGAGUACCAAUGCCAUAUUUACAAAUAGUGAGUGACUUACCUGGCACAUAUCUUUUCAAGAGUGUAGACUACAAACCCUGCAAAGGAAAGGAACAAAAUUAUAGCUGAAUGCAAAUGAGAAGGUUAACUGAAUGCAAGUUUUAACAUUUGAUACUCUCGUAUCAAAGCCACAUUAUAUGCAGGUCUUAAAAAUACUGCAUAUUUCCCUCAAUGCCGUAAUUUCUUGGUUUCUUAUGAAAACAAAGUUCUCAGAGGACCUAAAGGCACAUACGUUUAAACUCCUCUAGCUUCGUGUGUUUAUGCCUCCCACCAUAGACAACAACAAUGGGGCGCCCCUUCUUGUCCACACCUUGCAUAAACAGCUUGUUAUGUGCUAGUUCUCUUGGAAUCUCUGACUCUGAGAUUGAACCAUUUGGCAUAAAUGCUUUCCUCCAACUCAGGUACUUGAGGAAUAGGUUAGAAGCCUUCUCGAUGUCCUGAUCACGAGCCCGUAGAAAUCUCCGGAUCAUGAAAUCAUCCACUUCCUGCCCACAGGCAUAAUGCACACAGAAGGAAGUAUAUCAAGUUAUCAACAAUGUGAGCAAUCAAUAUACAUCCAAGUCCUUACUGUGAACUGUAUGCAGUAUCUUUUCAUUAAACACUAAUUUCAUUUCACUUAAGUAGUGGACUGAUGAAUUGUAUAUAAUAAAAUUAUAAUUUUAUCAACAUUCCCCACUGACAAGUCACCAUUACAUUCUAUAUCUAUUGGCAAAUUGAGCUCAAACCAAUUAAGAAAAGAACCCACUUUCGUUUCCUUCCAACCCAAUUAACCAUAUAAUAAGCUGAAUCACAGUCAAAGCUCUAAACUUUAAGCAAUAAUAGCAGUAAUGGAUACAGUGAUCAACCAAAUUCAGCAUCAUCAAAAUUAAUUCUUUAACUUGACUUAAAUCUCACAACAAGAUUUUGAACAAACACAAAAGUAGCAAAAACAAAAAGAGGAAAGAGAAUCAAGUUUCAACCUUGGAGGAGGGAUCUUCUCUUUCCACAAGGGCUCUCAUGAUACCCACUUUGCUCUUCUCAAUCUCAUUGCUUUCCAAACCCUGUUGCUCUUCCACACCCUCAUUUGCUUCCACACCAAUCACACUAUCUUUCUCAUUUGAUCCCAUUCUUCCUUUCUGAUCAAAGCUCCCUUCUUUUUCUUCCCCACAAAAAACCCAGCUUCCAAAUUCUUGUUGAAUAUGAAGAAAGUGAAAGAUGUGGAUGACUUUAAAUGCAAGCAGUUGAAGGAAAAGGGAGACUUAAGAGAUGGAUGAGCUGGGUUGCCGACCCAUUGAAAUUAACGCCUCUGGGAAGUUAGGAGUGACCAUCCGUUAAAGGCAAACACAGAGUCGUCGUCAUCGUUUAAUGUCGCUUUUGAAAGACUUGAAUGUGAUUCAUAUCUUCAACUCCAAACUCCAUUAUUGACUAGUAUUUUACCAAAACUAGUGAAAACUCCAUCAUUGACUGUUCCUUCUCCUCCGUUUCUAGAUUGAUCAAAAACUUGGGCUGACUCAAAAUCCUUGGGCCUGUAAAGAGUUGGAGCAUAAUAACAUAGGGCCCUUAUUUUGAAAUGAAGUGUUGUUAUCUUUGGUUUCAGUUCAACAAGUUCCCCUAACCUUACUUGGAAUUCCGUGAGUUUGAAACACACCAAAUUGAGCUGAACGUGUUGUGUUGUAGCUUGCUUUUGCAUGUUUUGUUCAAAACUAUUUAUGUACCGUUUAGUUCUUAGAUUUCAAAAUCAGUCCUUAUGACAUGAACCUUCAACCUUCAAGUGUGCCGAAUCGAACCACUUUCAACUUUUUAUCUUAAAUAGAUAGAACGAAUUCCGACACUUGAAAGAUCACGCACUCAAUUUUUAAAUAAUAUUUUUUAUCAUUAGAUUUACAUCCAAAGAUGUUGAUUAUGAUUCUCUUGGUUAGUAACUCACCAAGUAAACACUAUUGUGGUUACCAAUGGGUCAUCAAAUUACCCUACCUAAGCAACCGUGUUAAGAAGAAAAUUGUGCAGAAGCGGCAAAUCAUUCUCACACACAUAUGUCCAAUAGUGUUAACAGUGACACUCUUUCCACCAGGGUGGAGAACAAGUAUAAUGUUUCCACCAGGUGGAGAACAAGUAUAAUGAUUUAAUACAAAAUGACUCUACAUUAGUGUAUUAUGGUUCUAUUGCUUAUAAUCAAAUGAUGACUUUUUACUUUUCUAAUAUGAAAUAGGAGUAGGCUAGAAUACACCUGGAGUAAUCGAGCCGGACGUCACCGUCCAAGCCGACCGUCAAGCCGGGUAAAAAAUGGAAAAAGUGACUGAGGGGCAGGGUUGUCAAUUCUGUGGUAAAAGGACGCAGAAACGAGGAGAAAUAAGGAGAUGAAAGGGAGGGUUUAGAGGCACAAUAUGAGAUCGAAUGAGAGGUGAGGCGAGAGAAAAGAGUCUAUAUCAGGUUGAGGGUUGAAACCCAGCAACACAACUUCGUAGGCUGAAUACAAGUUUGGAUCGGCGAAUCUCCGGGAUUUCAGGUAUUACUCUUACCACUCUUAUUUCUUUAUGCGUUGAUUCAAGUUUGGAUCAACACAUCUGGGUUCAAGUUUGUGGCUUCUGUGAGUCUAGCUUAGUCUUUGCUUCCGCUUUAAUUCUCUCUAGAUUUCAAUUCAGUUUAUCAAUUUCCCCCAAUUUCAAAAACCCUAGCCUCAGAACUCUAAGUCCAGUCGUUUCAAUUCAACCCACGCACUCAUCAGAUCGCAGUAUUGGUCAUCGUUUCUGGCAUCAUCGGCGCGACUUCCUAGCUUUGGGUUUUUGAAGCGCACUAGACUAGGUUUUUUAUGGUUUUGAUUGAUGAUCUAGCUUUGAUUGUGAUUGUUGGAUGAGGACUUUGUGUGGAAUUGUUGAUCAACUAUGGGUCUGGGUUUCUGAUAGUUGAGGCUUAUCGGAGAGUUGAUUGUGUUUCCUUAGCUGGUAAACCAAAGGUUUCUUUUUCUGUGUUCUUGUUUGUGUGGACUGUCUGAAAGAAUAAUCUUUCUAAAAGAGAUUACCAUCUUUUGUUUAAUAAAGACAGUAUAUUAUGAUCUUUCUAAAAGAGAAAACUGUGAAUGAAUAAUCUCUUAGCUUAUAUAAUGUCUUCUCCCAUAUAAUCUCCUUGUUCCUUUUUUUGAAUGGCAUGUCUAUCAGAUUCAGGUUUGUAUAAGCUUGCUUUUGCAUCAGCAUCUGUUGAGGUUGGAUUGAAANNNNNNNNNNNNNNNNNNNNAAAUUUAGCUUCCCAAGCAACUGUAGAUUUUUCCUAUGACAGUAUAAAUUAUUUGAACAUUCAAUUCAUGAUGAUGAUAUCUUCUUUAUGCAGUUUUUUCAAUGUGAUCUUCGUGGUUACAUUAUCCAAAAGCAAAUAGACCUGAGCAAAGCUCACCAGCUGAGGUUGUAAAUAAUUGUCAAUGCAUUUGAAAUGGACAUUGAUGUUGAUGAGUUACUUGCAUCAAAUGGAAAGAGCGUCAACUGAUCAUAGAAUAGAGACGGUGACCCAUUGUAUUUGAAAAAUACAUUAUUUUAGGAAGCAUGGAC